rnacentral:lncRNA from 1 species
UCACAUUUUCGAAGGAUCUGGAGCUUGGUAAGAUCUUGGUGAGGCCGGGUUCGUUGUUCUUGGAAGACCUGACCACGUCAAGCAACUUCACCCGCGAAGGGUACGGGUCCACGACCCGGGUCUAUGUGGUAUCCAAACAAGAUCUGGGGAUGCCCCCGGAGUUCCAAAAGUGGAUGAUCGCAAGCAGCGGGGCGCACCACGUCGUGGAGGUGGACGGGGCGGAUCACAUGCCCAUGCUCUCGAAGCCGCAGGAGAUCUGUGAUUGUCUGUUGGAGAUUGGGGCCAAAUACGAACGUGCCUAACAUUUGCCACGGCAUUAGGGGGCUUUGGUUCUUCUCGAUGGUUUGCAAUUUCAUUUGUCGGAUUCUUGAGUUUGGUUUGUAAUUCCUUUUCAGUUCUCGCGUCGAGGUAAUCCAAAUCCAGCAACAGUCCAACCCAACCAUUUCAAUUCCGGGUGUCCUCGGUUUUUUAGCCCCAGCGUCGCACUCAUCAGUCAAUUCGUCACGUGAACUGUCCUUUGUUUAUUUUUUUUGGUCAGCACAUGAACUGUCUCGGUCACUCAAUGAAUGGGUUGUCUAGGUUUUUUAGCCUCAACGCGUACUCAGCACUCAAUUCGUUACGUAAACUAUCUGCAUAGAGUAGUGGACAAAAGGAAAAGGAAAAUGUGCGAACAUCACCUUUUGAAUUCCGACAAAUGGGUUGUCUAGGUUUUUUAGCCUCAACGCGUACUCGACAGUCAAUUCGUUACUUGAACCGUCUGCAUAGAGUAGUGGACAAAAGGAAAAGGAAAAUGUGCGAACAUUUUCAUGAUGAUGGACGGAGGCUAUAUGGGCUUAGGUGGAAACCUUUUUUUACACUACUUUUACGUCCAAAAAAGAUAUACGUAAAUUUAUUAUCUACCUAAUGUUGAUUUUCUUUUUUAUUUCCUCAAGUAGCACAAGGUUUUACUAAUUGUGGGAUAGAUGAUAAAAGGACAUCGUGUCUUGUAAUCAUCAAUCCCUAUUUAGUGUGGUCCGUGAGACUUUUUAUGGUUUUACUUCUUGAAUUUUGUUCGAGUUCAUAAGCAACGGUGGGGCGCACUGUCUAUAUUCAUUUGUGUCAGUAUACUGUUUUGUGUCAUUGAGGCUUCCUUUGUUUGACCAAAAAAAAGAAAAAUGCACGAUUUACAAUAUAUUUUGCUAAAAAAUCAUUUAUAUUAUUUAUAAAAAUAAAUAAGCGAUAAAUAUUUUCAUUAUAAAGAAAACGUUUACAAAUAAAUUAUUGUUGAUGAUGAAAAAUAAUUCAAUGACCAAUUAAUUUAAGCUAUAUGAGUAAUCAUUUCUAGAAAAAUAUUUUUCAAAUCAUUCAUUUUUUAUUAAAUAAAGAAAGUUCAAAACUUUCCAACAGAUUUUUGUUCAUGGUUCAUUCCCUUGCAAAUUUACUUAACAGAGAAAAUAUAAAUUCAGCAGUUUGUUUAAAGCUCAUGAAAGCUUAUAACUGCCUUAAAAACGUGAACUCGGAUAGAUGCAAGCAACCGCUUAUCCGUGCAAUUUCUGCACCAAGGUCAAGCGGAGAGAAACCUGCCUACACGCUACAACCCUUGAAUUGACUUUGACAACAUUGUUAAUCCAUCAAUAAAUUAGGGGUGAUUCGAUAGAAAGGUAUCUUUCGCCCGGGUAUCCAGCAUCAGUCAAAAUUUUCGUGCCUCCAACUGUUGAAGCAAAUGAAAAUGAAGCAAGAGCGGGGUCAGAUCUUCUGAACCUCAGGCUGUAAGUACUGUCGAUCCUAAAUGUAAAUGAACAUCUUCUUGUGCAGAUGAUUCGCCGCUUUCUUUUCAGGCGAUGCUUCUCCAAAUCCUGCAAUGCAAGAUCAUGUAAAAAUAAGUAAAUAUAUAUAUACAGAGAGAGGGAGAAAGUAUGUGAAAUAUUUUACCGGGGACGUACAUCUUCAGGCAAUGAAGGCGAGUUCAGCAAGUGGCCACUCGACAGGCGAAGAGAGGCUUUUCAGUGAUAGAGGGAGAAGGGAUUUCAGUCUCGUCUCGGCGGCUUCCUCCUUCGAUCCAUCUUGCAAGUGCAGGGUCACCCUUUUGGACAUAAUAUGACGAUUCCAGCGGCUUUUGUAACUUGGCGAUGCCGAUGGCUUUUUUCAAGGAAGAUGCUUCGAUCGGGUACUUCUUACGACCUCCACAUUCACAAUAAAUUGAUGGAUAAGGCAGUGGAUCACUCAGAUCUGGACGGCGUCGGGGCUGCGGCAGAGCUGAAUUGACCUCCAGAUCUGGACCUUGGUCGACCCUCUCCCUCCGGAACUCACUCUCUCCGGCUCCGACCUUCUGCGGCCUCGGCUUCUUCCGCUCCGGCUAGAUCUGGAUCCUAGGGUUGGCCGGCUCUCGGACCUCUUCUGAUGUCUCUUGGAGGAAGUGAUCGGAGCUGGCUACCUCGGAUCUCGGCCUGCUCGUCCCCGGGCCUCCCCUGAAGUCUUUCAGGGGAGGUUUGAAGCUUGCAGCCCUUGAUCCUUCGCGGCGUCGGUGGCCCUUCUCUUCCUCUCCGAUGCCCUAUUUAUAGGCGCGAAGGCCGGUCGACGGAGGCCUUGGCCGGCGGUCUUUGGCGCGCCGACCGGCCUCUCCCUCGACCGAACCGACGUCUCAUCUCAGCACUAAAGGCGCGCAUUGAAGGCGCCUGCGAGUCGUCCUCUCCUUCGGCGGCCUACCUCUAUUCCUCUCUGUCGUAGGCCGUCUUUGAGCGCGUCGCCAGCCACUGCGCGUGAGAUGCAGAGGCGAAGGAGGAAGAAGAAGACAGGAGGAAGAAGGAGAGAGGGGGGGGGGGGCCUAAGCUGAAGGAAAAAAAAAAGGGCUGGGCCCUGGGGCCCGCGCGGGAGAGAGAGGAAAGAAGGGGGCGGGGCGCGAAGGCCCAGUCUCGAUGGGCUUUCUUUUUUGUUUGUUUUUGUUAUUUAUUUAUUUUUAUUACUUAUUAUCCGAAAAUAAAGAUUAAAAAAGGAAAUUAAGGCCUAAUUUAGCCUAAUUAAAACUUAGGUGUCAACAAUAGUGAUCCAUAAAAAUAACAUAAUAGGAAAAGUCAUCUAUUAUUUUCACUGAAAUGUGACCCAAAACAUCAUUAUAAAUGAGUUCAAGAGUCGUUGGAUAGACUAUGUAGUAGUACCAAACAGAAGUUACUAGAUUGACAUGAUUUGCACAAAAGUCUAGAAUGUGACUUGGAAAUAGAAGGAAUUAACUUCAAUUUUGAAAGAAACUCUAAAAUCUUAUGAGAGCAAUGACCAAGAUGUCGAUGCCAAUCACUAGAGGUUGCAUAGACACCAAUCAUAGUGAAGGGUGGCAUAUGAGUCACAUGGAGUGAAGAUGGAAGUUCAUAAGUAUCAUUGUUAUUCAAGUCUCGAUGGAGAGUUGCCCUUGUGCACAAAUCCUUCACCAAAAGAUGGUCAAGAAAAAAUUCAAUAGAUGUUUGGUUAAUCUUAGAAAAUUUUAAAACAUAUAUUAAGUGUUUACUAAUAUCAAGGACACACAAAACAUCAGACAAUGAAUAUGAAACUGGGGGGUAGAGGCAAGGUGGGGCAAGGAAGUUUUGUUGAAUAUAUGUGUAUUAUUUGCAAAAUUUAGCCAUCGCCAUAACAAUUUUGUUUGUGCCUUCAUAAUUUGGAUGCAAAGAGAGAUUUUCUAGAUUUGAAGUCACAUGAUGAGAUGCUCCAGAGCGCAUGAGCCAUCCUUGCUCUGCUUGACGAGAUAACACUAUAUUAUUUUUGCACUAGGAGGAGAGAAGAAAUAUCGUUGACCUGAUAACAUUUGCUUGGUUGAGUGACUUACUCGUUCACAUAGUUGGAAUAGGAUUCAUGCUUUUUGAGUGGGUUGGUUAUGAUCAUAAUUUUUUCUCCUUUGCCAAUGAAAUUGUCAAGUUCACUAGGAGUUCGAACCUCGAUUUGAGAUGGAGUGCUGGUUGGUUUUCCUAUGAGAGACUUUCUUGGCAAAUUUUGUAGCGACAAGAGUUGAUUCGCCCUGACUCUCUUCCCUUUUAAGAUAUUGCUAGAAGUCAAUAAAUAUAUCAGAGUUCCUCAAAGGAAAUGGGUGAUUUGCGUUCUAUGAUGGAGAUAGUUUUCCUUGAAUCAGAGCUAAGCCCAUUCAAAAUAUGUGUUGUUAAAUCAUCAUCACGAAUGGGAGAAUUGAUGAUGGCAAGUUCAUCAGCAAUUCCUUUGAUGAUUUGUAUAUACUUAGCCACUGAUCUAGUGACACAUUUUGUGAGGAUUAAACACUCCAUGAGACUCAUGACAAAGCGAUGUGAAAGUUUGUUCCAAGCCUCAAGUGCUAUUUUGGCAGAUGCAAUUUGAGUCCGAAGUGAAAGCUAUGAUUGCUUGAAGCAAUAGUUGAUCUUGGCAUACUCAAUGCGAAUAAGAUGGAUUGGCAAUAGUUUUGCUAUCAAUAGUAGGUGUUAGACGAACAUAAUAUCAUUCCAUCAACAUACCCCAGUAAAUCAUAGCCUAGGAGCAAAAAGUUAUAUUGAGCCAACCAAGAAGGAUUAAUCAUUGACGUUAACUUGUAGGGUAGUUGCAUAGUUGCAUUAAUAGACACAAGAAUGGUGGCGUUAUUUGAAGAGGGGUCAUUGACUAUCAUAAGAGAGCUAGUGUUUGAGGAUCCUCCCACCAUUGAAAAAAUAAAAAAUAAAAAUUGAACAUUAUGCUUGUGAGCAGCAGGCUCUGAUGCAAAAAAGAAUUGGACAAAAUGCUCUUUUCUAUUAUUUCUUACAUGUAAUUAAUUUACAAAAUAGCUAAUGGUUUAUAGAAAGACACCGGCUAGAAUAACUGCAGUACAACAACUUUCCUAACUACGGCCUUUAUAAAUGGAAAGAUGAAAUCAUCUAUACAAAGGAAAGAUAAAAUGAAUUUGUUAGUUGUGGACACUCUCACUGCACUUUGCUAAGAGUACAAGAAUUGCUUAAUUGGUCUUCAUCUAAUUGAGAGUAAUAUUUUGAAUUACUUUGCUAUUCAAAGAUAUUUUCUCUAAUAUACCAAGAUUUAGCAAGAAAUUUAGGGUGCAUUUGUUUUAGUGAAAGUAUGUUCCAGGAAGAGUAUUUUAGACUUUCUCCCAUUUGGUUCAAUGAAAAUAACAAGUCAACCAAAAAUACUUUUCAGUGAGAUUUAUACAUAAAAUUAGAAAAGUGGAUUCCUAAAUCUAAAGAGGAAAACACUUUUUUUUUUCUGUCGUUUUUUUUUUCCUUUUUCCUCUAUUGGUUGUCGCAACAGGCCACAAGCAAAGGCUAGCGACCUCACCGAAAUCUGGUGCGCUUGAGCUCACUAGCCUCAGGUGAGCUCCAACCUCACUGAGAUUUGGCAAGGCUCAACCUCACCGACCUGCACCUGUGACCAGUUAUCAAAGACCAUUAAUUGGCAAAGGAAGAAGUUAAAAGAAAGAAAAGAGAAAAAAAAAAUAGAAUAAUAAAAUUUAAAAAAAUUUAAAAAUUCAAAUUUUAUAUUGUCCAAGAUAAAGUCAUGAGAUCGAAAUCAUUUUUUAAAUAAGAUACAAAUACCCAAAAAAAAAAUUAGACACAUAUCAACAAAGAAAGAAAAACUAAUCAUUUUCCUAAAAAUAAUUUUUAGAAAGCAUAUUCUUUGUAUCAUGAAAGUUUCUAUAAAAUAAAUGCACCCUGAUUUUUCUCGAACUCGAUAAUACAAGCUUGCAACCAAACUGGAAGUUAAAGAGGCAAAAUGAAAUCAAUGAGUUGGCUUGACUUAUCAUGCUCUUUUUCGGGUUAAAAAAAUCCGGGGAAACUGUCAUGACUGGGCCAGCAAUAUAUUCAUGCAGGGACGCCCUUGAGCUUGAUUCACUAGUGAUUCUUCGUAAGAAGUUUUUAUGACAUUGUACCAUGAGAAACCGUCAAGAAAACGUGAGAAGAACACGAAGAAGUGCUCGAGCCUCGCCGACCGUUGUGCUGGAUAGAGUGUCUGAGAUAUGGCAAUGUCAAAAGGUGAGUGCAGUCUUAUUCAAGAAACGUACUAAAAAAUUUCCAAAUCUAUUAAAAUUAUGUCCAUUCAAUUAUACACUUUUUUAUUAUGUCAAUUUAAUUCUAAACAUUUUCACAGUUCACCAAUUGAGUCUUUUUGACCUAUUUUGGUUAAAAAUCAUUGACAUGGACAUUGAUUGUUUUAUGUGACACGACCAAUGCUUAUAUAGACAAUUUAACCAUUUUUUUAAAAUGAAUUUUUUGUGACUUUAUUUUUUUUUCUUUUCAUUUUGGCUAGUAAGGGCAACAAGCUCUCUUCAACCACUAAUGAGGGUCAUAGCCCUCGCCUAGGCCCAUGUCACCCAUGUCCGAUGAGGCCAUUUAGGGCCUUCACACCCUCUCUCGUAGGAUGUUAGGCUGCCACUGGCUCUAGAUGGGGCUCGUAGCCCUUGCCAGCCAAAAUGAAAGGAAAGAAAGAAAGAAAGAAAGAAAAACUACUAAAAAAAUCUUAUUAAAAAAAUGUUCAUGUUAGUAAUGGCCGUGGUACAUAGGAUAAGUAGCAUUCGUGUCAACAAUUUUUUGCCAAAAUUGCCUAUUAGCACUAAAUUGGUACAAUUGAAAGAUAUGGGACCGAAUCGACAUAAUUGCAAUAGGUUUAAAAAAAUUUGGUACUUUUCCCUAUUUUCUCAUGUUAGUGGCUUAGGUUAAUGAAAUUAAUGAAGAUUGCGUGUAAAUGAUUUUAUAGAAAGAAAGGUACCAAGAGGGCAUUUCACAUGCCCAUAAAUGAUUGACAGCUCCAAAGUGAUUAUAAUGCAUGAUUGAAUUUGAAAAACCAAGUUACAAUCAAUAAGGGCUUGGGAGAGUCUCCAUUAAGCAUGAGCAUCACGUGACUUUGUUCUAGUUUCUCAAUUCAUUAGCUUUUUCCCUGUUGAUUCAUCUGGGCAACAUAUUUUUGGUUGUCCAUACUUCUUAACAUGUCUUAUCCUAAAUUAUAGAUGUUUAAAGUAUGCAAUUAUGUAGUAAUGGUCCCUAGUCCUACCUUUCCCUUACAGAAUAGAGACAACUAAUUUUGCAAGCUUAUCAUUGACAAUAAAGUUAAAAGUGAUUAAUUCAAUUUGAUUUACGGUUGAUCAUCCGAAUUACUUGAUGCCAAAUAUUCAAAUCAUCUAUUCUAGCUGGAAAAAAUGGAAUAUUCCAACUAAGUAAGUAAAUGCAAACAACCUAUUUUGAAUAGCCUCACCAUCUCGAAAAAUAAUUUGGUGCUUCGCCUCUGCUCUUUUCCUCUUUGUAUGUGAGGGUAGAGAACGAACCCUCGCCUAGAGGAGAGGAGUUAUAUUGCAAGCUUUACUUGAAGUCUGAAGGGCAUUGAUCAUGCGUAUCCUAAACUCACUUUCUCUUAUCAUAUCAAGUUCAUCUUCCCAGAUCAUCGGAGACAUAUGGUGUCCAUGUGUGGAGAGAGAGAGAGAGAGAGAGAGAGAGGGAGAGCUAGGGUAGGUGAAGGAUAUGUACCCCUGUCGAACAUCCAGGCCCCAGUACACAAUAAUAUGAAGUGGAAAUCGUGGAUGGGAUUAGGGUUGACCUCGAUGGCGAUUAUUAACUUUAUAAAAUUAACAAAAGAGAAAAUUUUAAAGAAAGGCUUAAAAUAUGGUCGUUUUCUUAAAAGAUGGUCCAGAAUUUUAUCUUAAAUAAGAGCUUAAAAUGAUCAAUAUAGUGUCAAACAAGGGCCUAGUAAUCAUAUGGAUCUCUCAGCCACUUUAAGUUAUGAUUAGAGGUAUUUUUGUCCAAAUUUAAAAUUUUUAAUCUUUUUUAAUCUUUUUCUUUCUUCUUCUCCCUUCUUCCUCUGGCCGACUCUCUGGUUCAUGUUCUCCUUUCACGAAAGUGGCCAUUUCUUCAUCAACGGCAGGAGCUUUACAGCAAUUGAUGAGUGCAAUUGACAACGACGGCUUGGGCUUGGAUUGAGCAUGUGUGACUUCUCAAAGAAGAGCAAGUUUGGUAUAAAAAGGUUGAAGGUUUGAGAUAAAGGGUCCACUCAAGCCAAGAGCUACCUUGUCUCGAUAGGGAUUGACGAGGACCAAAUAUAAUCAUAGCCAGAACAUAAAACAUAAGCCAACCACUCUUUCUCUGAGGAUAAAUUAUUGACCUUUGAACAUAUUGAAUCAUGGUAGAGUAAAGAACAUCAAUGUUUUGAACGGCUGUGUUAUUAGUGUCAAGUUCUUCAAAGCACGUUGAUGCUUCUAUUGGAGUCCCACAAUAGACAAACCCAUGCGGGCAGGCUAGCAAGGCCUCCUCUUGCCAAACCUCGGCAAGGGUAACCCUUGCUGGUGGUUGCCUUUUGUUGACAUCUAAUUUGUAUUUUCAAGCACAUAUAAAAUAUUUUGAUUAAAAAAAAUUUAAAAAAUUAAAAUUAAAAAGAAUUAAAAAAAUUAUUAAAAAAAUCGUUAAAAAAAAAGGAGCCGUAGGGGUCAGGUCGGGCCGGAUCCAGCCUUGGCCCUACCUACCCCCUCUUCCUUUUCUUCUUCCCCCCGCGUGGGCCUGGCCCUUUUCCUUUUCUUUUUUUUCCCCCGCGCGGCCUAGCCCUUUCUUCCCUUCGGCCGAACCUUGAGUGCCCCCCAUCUAUUUGUCCAAAUGCCGAGAUGAAUCUUGCUUUGCCGUCCUUGACUUCAGCCCUUUUUGGUCAUCCGAGCAUCGUCGCGGUCUAGCCAUAGGCCAAGCCGUGUCCCUACCUGGUCAAAGUAGGAGCAUCACGCUCUGGUUAGUCGUCGCUUGCACUAGUCACCGUCGCUACCGCCGCUUCCCCUGUCGCAACUAGAUAGUCGCAGGGUAGGGGCUGCGAGCUAGCGAAACGCUAGCCUCGGCCAACGUGUUCACCAUAGCUGUUGGAACUCCCGACUCCAGACGUCGAGGGUCACUCUCGUUCGCCCAGUUGAAGCGGCACCGUCGCAGCCCUCACCGGAGGGGUCGUUUGCAUCGCGCACCUUGUCGUCCCCUACUGUGGAGUAGGGUCGAGGGCCGAGCUAGGCUAGAUCUAUGCGGCCCUCUUUCAUUCGAGCUUGCGAGAGACCCUAUCAGAAGAAAGAAAAAAAAGAGUUGGGCCUAACCCUCUAUCAAAUGCAGGCCCCACCACGGCUGGUCGGGCCUGGGCCUUACGGGCGAGCUGAUUGGCCCACCCCAAUCGGGCCGAACUUGUGCAUGUUAAGUCGACCCACCCAACCGGGUCAUAUUUGGGUCGGGUCAAACUCGACCCGACCCGACUUGGUUCGCCCAAAAAAAUAUAUUUUUUCAAAAAAAAAAUCGAAAAUUAAAAAAAUGUAGGGUUUGGUUAGGAAUUGUCAUGUCUUGCAUUCUUAGUAUAAUUAGACAUUUAUUUGCUCGUAUAUUGAUAAUAUCACAUGUUUAAUUUGCAUAAUUUAUUAUGUUUAAUUGCACGUGCUAAAGUUUAAUGCAAUUAGGAUUCUGGUUGCAAAUUGAUACUUUAAUGAUUGCGCACCCACAUUAUCAUCUUACAUGUUAGUGGAUAUAUGUAAAACAAUCCAAUCUGCUUGAUAAAAAUAUAUAUUUUUUAAAUGAACAAAAUUAGGUACCAAAAUGGCACUAAUUGGUCAAUUAGUGUAAUUAAGUCCCCGACCCUAGAUUCUCUGGUUGCGUAGGAAGUGAUGUACACUCUCAUGUAUCAUUUGGUUUCUAGCCAACCCCAAUAGGUUAGUGGCGACUCUUUUUUGUGAAUUCUUAAAAAUUCCCUAAUGUCACGCGAGGUAUGGGCUUGGGAGAGCCCGCGCCUAAUCAUCGGCCUUAGGUCCAUCAUUUAGGCAAUACCUCUAAACAUGUCCUCUCCCCCCCCCCCCCCGAGGGGUAGGUCGCGAUAGUUUGGUGACUCUGCUAAGGGCUUGGUUUUAGACCUUAGAGGACUUAAGCUAGAAUUGAUCUUGUUCACAAAACAUUUUUGUUUGGCAGCGAAGAUAUCAGGUACAUCCUUAUCGUGUCAGGUAUUAAAUGGUCAUGCUGAAUGAGGGGUAUAAGGAGAAGUAUUGCUAACCCUUGUUUUGUAGGGGGUGCUAUAAUGAAUGGUUUAUUUACGCAUGAAGUGCUAUUUGCUUAUAAAUUGUCAUGCCUGCGUUCCCUGCAUUGCACUACACCAUGGCACACAUUACCUAUCGCCAGACCUGGGCUGCAUAAGAUCACCUAGCAUGGUGUUGAGAUGGAUACCACUCCGAUUACAACCAUAUAGUAUGAGUUGCCCAUCUCAAUCUUGAAAUUUCCAUCCUAAUAUCAAAGGUCCCCACCCUAGUCUGCAACCAUGCGAUACGAGUCGGUUCUUUGACGAAGCCGGAGUCAUGGUUAACAUGAUCUAGCCACGAUCUUGUUGGUUCGGUACGGUGAUCCUAUGGCUCCAUUUUGAGCCGUCUAGAGUAAAAAUUGAACCACUGCCCAUGUGCAUGUCUAUGUCAUUGGCAUUGCUACUUAAUGAGUAAGGUAAGUUUUUCGAAUUCUUUUCAUCGCAAUUUACUUAUUCGCCUUUUUUUUUUGUCGGUUCAUGACAAAUUAGGUUAGUUGUAACUUUGAUUAGCAUACAAUGGGGGUACCCGGCUUCGCAUCAUUUCCGCCCCUAAAGGAGAGCCUCCGCCUGAAGAUUCCUGAAGUGCCAUUGAAGAUCACCAAUCGAGCUGAGAUCAAGCGUCUCAAAAGGAAGCUCGAGGAGCAUGCCUCGAAGUUGACCCGAGUUAGUGGGGCUACCACGAGCGGAAGUUAUCCUCAUAGUUAGAUUGAGUCAAGUGUGGUAUGUAGUGGGACCAUGCUUACAUAUGUUACAGUGUUAAGGAGUUUAUCUCAAGUCUCAAUGUUGAGAGUUAAGAGAGUGUCUUUCCGUCUUCAAAAUAGUUUCGUUGUUUAGGGGUUCUCCCUCAUAUCUUGCAUUAUGUAGCAACAUUGCUUUCAAUGAAAUGAACGAAUUAGGAUGAUUAGAUCUCUAUCAUGGGCCGACCACCUGUUUAUUUCUUGUGCUUAUAUACGCUUAUUUACCCUUUCGCCAGGUGCUACCCAAUCGAUUAUCUUCUGUCAAUUGUUGACACAAACAAACGGAGAUCUCCGAUUUGCACUUGAUCGAAAACCAGGAUGGAGAACAAGGACACUAACACACGCAUGGUCAAGAUGGAUGACCCGUUAGCCCAACUUACCGCAAUGAUGCUAAAGAUAAUCCAAAAGUUCAAAGAGCCCCCCGUCGUAGCUAUUGCUAGGACAUCCACUCUUACAUCGUAAGGACAUGUUCCCCCGUUAACGGGAGACCCACAUGUCACCAACCUUCUGGGAAAGGAAACUGCCGAAGAAGCCCCUUUUGUCACGCCAAUUGUCGUCAACUUAGAUCCUCCUCGGAAGGAAGAGCUAACACCCCACCUAGAUAGAGAGAGCGAAAAGCACCUGGCUAAGAUGAAGGAGUGAUUGUGCGCCUUACAAGGAUACGAACUGAAAGGAGCCGACAAGCUGUCCCGGUAUAACAAGACGAACUUCCCCGAGACUUUCCAAGAGCCUGAAUUUAUGAGAAAGUAUGACGGAACAGGAUGCCCUAAGACUCACCUUAGGUACUACUUGAGGAAAAUGGCUCGUUAUGCUGAGAACGUGCCCUUUCUCAUUCACACGUUCCAAGAUAGUUUAUAAGGUAUUGCCUUGACGUGGUUCAUCACGCUAGACAUCAAAGAGUUCACCAGCUGGGAGGGCUUGGCCAAUGAAUUCCUAUAGCAAUACAAGUUCAACACCGAGCUCACUCCCAUGAGGGAAGAGUUGACCCGGGUAGAAAAGAAGAGGAAUGAGUCAUUUAAGGCCUUCGCGCAUAUGUGGAGAAUCAUGGCCUCACACGUGAAACCGGCCUUGAAUGAGAGGGAAAUGAAGCAGCUAUUCCUCAAGACAUUACCGCCUGAAUACUUUCGAGGAUUAGUGUACUCAAGAUGCCAGACAUUUUCACAACUGGUAGAUGUGGGUGAAGGAGUCGAGUAAGCAAUCAUCAAGGAAAUGAUAUCUAUCGAAAGCGCUAAGAAAUUCCCAGUGAGAAAAGAUAAGGAAACUGCGGUUGAAAUAGCGCUAGUGCAAGAGCCAUUUCUCUCAGGCCACAUUCAACACCUGCACAUAAGCCUGUAAUGGCCCAAGGGAGCUCAUCUCGGACAUAUGACAAGGGCAAGAGACCCAUUCGAAGGGAAUUUUCCUUGUUACCGUGCCCAUUGUCGAAGCUGUUGCCCAUGCUCCUCAAAAAGAGGAUAGUUGCGAAGGAAGUACCUAAUGACAACCCCAUGAAGUUAGCCGGGUUCAAUGUGACCAAGAUCUAUGAGUACCACAUGGGAGAAAGGGGGCAUUAUGUAGAUAAUUGCUACAUGCUGAAGUACAAAGUCCAAAAACUGCUAGAUGGGGGCAUCUUGACUUUCAAGGAAGUUUAGCCUAACGUGCAACAGAAUCCCUUACCAAAUCAUGCAGAGGGAGUGAACUCAAUUUUCGAUGAGAACAUCAUAUGCAUCAUCCUAACGUGUGAGGGAGCUAAGUCCUCCAAAGUCGUAGUUGUCCCCCUAGAGUAGGGUGAUUCUUGUUUAGCUCAAUCUUUUGUCUUAUGUCCAAUCCCUUGCAUGGGAUCUCUUUGUUAUUUCUUUCUUGUCUAUGUCGUUUGUAGCGUGAACUAUGGACAGCCAUAAUCUUGAGCCAUUGGUUGAGGGUGAUGUGUGUUAAAAUACAACAUUAUCUUUUUCUCAUUUGAUAAACUAGAUGCAUGUUUUAUUUAGGACAUGUGGAAGCAAAUCAAACUAGUCCUAUGAUGGUCGUUGAGGCUGGGCCUCCACAUGCUCCCAAGUUUGACUGUUUUGCAAGGACGAGGAAAUAUGAGGAUAUGAGGAUGAGUUCUUGAAAUGUUUUACAAAAAAUACUUCAAAAAUAAUUCUUCGAAAGCGACAUGCAUGAUAUUUAUUGUUGACGUGCCUUAACUUAUCUCGUCACAUCCCAGACAUUUCAUUAUGCAUAAUCAUGAUAAAGACUCAUGUGACCCGAAGUGUAGGAAGAAAGUCUCUCAAGUUCUGAUGACAUCGAUGUUGAUUAGAAAGGGAUCGAGCGUGAAUGGAAUCGACAUGAGCAAAUGCUAACACAGUCAAUAAAUAUUUUCCACGAAUGAAAUCAAUGCCACGGAGCCACUUCAUGCACAAUCCAAGUCGCAUAGCAUCGUAGAUAUCAUACAUAUGUUACAUACAUGCAUAUCUAUUUGUGUUUCAAGCACCUUACCGUUCGAUAAGGAAAUGGCAGAGGAAAAGUCAAUUCAAGGACCCAUCGAGUCUCUGCACAUAUAGCUAAGUAUCUCCUUAAAUGAGAGGUAAAUCAAGAUGGGACCCAAAAAAAUAAGAACAAAAAUGCAGUGCAUCAUUUGCAUGACCUAUUUUCGAUGUCACUAUGCGUGCUUCGUGUCAGUGAGCCUCGAGAAAAAAGCCUCAUAAAAAAAGAUUUUAUUCGAGCAAAAAGGUGAAAUGUUAAUCAUGCCAAACAAGAAGUGCUUAGGAUAAAGAAAGGUAAACCAUUUCCAAAUACAUAUUUCAAACACUUUUGAGAGUUGAGUGAAAAUCGACAUUCUCUCAGGACAAAUGAUUCAUUCUCAUUGAGCACAAAGAUUGAAAUGAUAAAGGCGUUUCCUUCAUUAAUCCCAAGCAUUGUACUAAUACAGGCAUUUCCUUCAUCAAUCUGAAGCAUUGUACUAAUAAAGGUGUUUCCUUCAUCAAUCCCAAGUAUUGUACUAAUCUCUUGCUACCCCUUCGGGCCGAAUAAAGAUAAUCCUUCAAAGUACCCUUGUUGAGAACGACUUUACAUUGGGGCAGCAUAGGAGGUUACAGUUGUAUUAUAGAGUGAAAGCUUCAAAGGAAUUCUCAUCACUUUUAGUUGCAUCAAUCUUCUGGUGAUAGCUUCAAAGGAAUUCUCAUCAAAGCUUGACUCAUCCCAAGAUGAAGAAGAACAUUUCCUUCUCUACCUAAUUACUUAUACCCGUUGCUUUAACCAAUUUGGGUUUGAUUGUUCAUUUCUGAACCUUGAGCAGUGAUCAUCUCCCUUCACCGAGGCAAGGCAUAAGGAUUGACCACAUACAAUUGACAUUUACGAGAAAACGUGAAAAGCAUCUCGAAAGUCAUAAGAGCUCCAAAAGUUCAAAUAGCAAAAGGUUCGACAAAAUUAAGGGGCAUGAAAAAGUAGUGUGCCUGGUAAAAGUAAGGCUAAUGCCCAUCAAGAAAGCCAAAAGGCCGCAUCUUAUGUGUCAAAAUCCAAGUGCUUGCGUAAAAAAAUUAUCGCAAGUGCAAAGGAAAUUAGAAAAAUGAGCAAAGCUCCCAUGCAGAAAUGAUUAGUCAAUGGACUUUUGAGAUGUGCCGUGUUUCGAAAGCUAAAUGAUUUCAAAAUAUCAAGUGACCUGGUCACGAUGCUAUGAUAAUCACUAACUCUUAAGAACCCUCUUGAAAAUUUUAAGCCUUUUGAGCCUUUCCCAAACCAACAUUACAAUCCUCACCUAAAGUCUCUUUCGAUUAGGAUAGUUCGAGUGAAAAUGAGAAUGCCACAAAGAAGCUACCACUUGAAGGAGUGGAAGCAAUUCUAUCUUGUCUUAUCUUUCAAGUUCUCGAUUUGUAAACUCGAUGAAGAUAGUGACAAAUGUUCUUUUAUUGGCCUUAAAGCAAUAAUCCCUUUGUGUAAGCUCAUGACCAAACCUAUAUUGUGGUCAUUUCAAAAGACCUUUUUGAUCAAUCAGAUUGUGCUCAUUGCGAAUGUUUCUAAAAGCCUAUGACAUGGGAUACCCUCAACAAUCAGUUACUUCCCACACUAAUGGAUGAGAUCAAGCAGCCAUUUAAUCGAGAGUGUGUGAGAAACCCUUUAUGACUAAGAAGCUCUAGUUUGGCAUGCUUAAUGAGCCAUUUUCACGAGUCAUAGCCAUUAUAAUAAGAACUUGACUCCUAAAGAAUUUUAUAAUUAAUUAUACAUCCCCAGACAAGAUGACAAUUUUGUGUCACAUGAUGCUGAUUGACAUUGAAUGUUUUUUUAAAGCAGUUGGACUUAGCUUGUUCAAUUAAUGCUGCAAUAUUGCCAAUACAUCUCUUGAUGACGUCUCUAAUGACAUUUGCUCAAGUUGAGUUUGACAAGAUUUCCCAAUGAAGCCAUGCAUUUUUCAAGGGAUUAAUGGAUGCUUCCCUAAAGACCACAAAGGUUCAUGAUCAACCUUAAACCAUGUCAUCGCCAAAGGUUCAUGGUCGACCUUAAACCAUGUUAUCUACAAAGGUUCAUGAGUUGUCCUCAAACCAUGUAUUUUCAACCUAGUCGAAACCUGUUGUUACACGGUGAGACUUUAUCUCUUUCUUCUCAAGACACGGAGUACUUCUGUAAUCUGGAAUCUUUCUCUUUCUUCCUAUGACACGGCGUGCUUCUGUAACUCGGGGUCUUCUUUCUUCUUAUAACACAACGUGCUUUUGUAGCCCGGGAUCUUCAUUCUUUUUAUGACAUGACGUGCUUCUGUAGCCCGGGGUCUUCUUUCUUCUUAUGACAUGGCGUGCUUUUGUAGCUCAGGGUUUCUCUUUCUUCUUAAGACAUAGCGUGCUUCUAUAACAAGACACGGCAUGCUUCUAUAGCCUGAAGUCUCUCUUUCUUCCUAUGACACAGCGUAAUUUUGUAGCCCGGAAUCUCUCUUUCUUCUUAUGACACGACGUGCUUCUAUAGCCCGGAGUCUCUCUUUCUUCCUAUGACACGGCGUGCUUCUAUAGCCCGGGGUCUCUCUUUCUUCCUAUGACACGGCGUGCUUCUAUAGCCCGGGGUCUCUCUUUCUUCCUAUGACACGGCGUGCUUCUAUAGCCCGGGGUCUCUCUUUCUUCCUAUGACACAACGUGCUUCUGUAGCUAGAGGUCUUUCAUUCUUCUUAUGACAUGAAGUGCUUCUGUAGUCCAGGGUCUUCCUUCUUCUUAUAACACGAAGUGCUUCUGUAGCCCAGGGUCAACAUGCUUCGAUAGCCUGGAGUCUCUCUUUCUUCCUAUAACACGACGUGCUUUUGUAGCCCGGAGUCUCUCUUUCUUCCUAUGACACGGCGUGCUUCUAUAACCCAGAGUCUCUCUUUCUUCCUAUGAUACAGUGUGCUUCUAUAGCCCGGGAUCUCUCUUUCUUCCUAUGACACAACGUGCUUCUGUAGCCAUAGGUCUUUCAUUCGUCUUAUGACACGAAGUGCUUCUAUAGCCUGGGGUCUUCCUUCUUCUUAUGACACGAAGUGCUUCUGUAGCCCGAGGUCUUCCUUCUUCUUAUGACACGAAGUGCUUCUGUAGCCCGGGGUCUUCCUUCUUCUUAUGACAUGGCGUGCUUCUGUAGCCUAAGGUCUCUCUUUCUUCUUAUGACACGGUGUGCUUCUGUAGCUCAAGGUCUUCUUUCUUCUUAUGACACAGUGUGCUUCUAUAGCCCAGAGUCUCUCUUUCUUCCUAUGACACGGUGUGCUUUUGUAGCCCGGAGUCUCUCUUUUUUCCUAUGACACGGCGUGCUUUUGUAGCCCGGAGCCUCUCUUUCUUCCUAUGACAUGGCGUGCUUCUAUAACCCGGGGUCUCUAUUUCUUCCUAUGACACAACAUGCUUUUAUAGCCCAAGAUCUUUCCUUCUUCUUAUGACACGAAGUGCUUCUGUAGCCCGGAGUCUUCAUUCUUCUUAUGACACGGUGUGCUUCUGUAAUCCGGGGUCUUCAUUCUUCUUAUGGCACGGCAUGCUUUUGUAGCUGGGGGUAUCUCUUUCUUCUUAUGACACGGUGUGCUUAUGUAGCCCGGGUCUCUUUUUUCUUAUGACACGGCGUACUUUUAUAACCCAAGGUCUUACUUUCUUCUUAUGACACGGCGUGCUUCUGUAGCCUAGGGUCUCUCAUUCUUCUUAUGACACAGUGUGCUUCUGUAGCUUGGGGUCUUCCUUCUUCUUAUGACACGGCAUACUUUUGUAGUCCGGAGUCUCUCUUUCUUCCUAUGACAGGGCAUGUUUCUGUAGCUCGGGGUCUCUCUUUCUUCCUAUGACACGGCGUACUUCUGUACCUUGAGGUCAUUCCUUCUUCUUAUGACUCGGCGUGCUUUUGUAGCCCAGGGUCUCUCUUUCUUCUUAUGACACGGCGUGCUUCUGUAGCCCAAGGUCUCUCUUUCUUCUUAUGACACGGCGUGCUUCUGUAGCCUGGGUAUCUCUUUUUUCUUAUGAUACGGCGUGCUUUUGUAGCCUGGAGUCUCUCUUUCUUCUUAUGACCCGGUGUGCUUUUGUAGUCCAGAGUCUCUCUUUCUUCUUAUGACACAGUAUGCUUUUGUAGCCUAGGGUCUUUCUUCCUCUUAUUAACAAGAUGCACUUCCAUAGUCAUUAGUCCUUUCCGUCGACCUAAUACGUGCCUAUGCACCUAGGGUCUCUCUAUCGUCGAAAUAAUUUAGGUGUCUUAUAUCUUUAAAUGCAACCUCUUCGAGACUACAUUAAAAAAAGGGGCAGAUGUUGACACCUAAUUUUUAUUUUAUUUUUAGUAACCCAGGGAACCCCGUAAGCCAACAGUCGACGAGCAAACCCUGGAGGAGCAACUGCAGGACUGUCGCGACCAAAUUUUUCGGGUGUGAUCCACCUAGGGUUUGGCUAAUGGAUUGUUAAGCCUAGACUUAACUCGGGCCCUCCCAAGCCUGUACCAAUUCGCGACUUUAGGUUCAAGUUCUUAACAUGUAAUUGAUUUUUAACUAGGAGUCGCCACUAAUCUAUUUUUGGUGGGUCGAUUAGAAACUCAAGUAAAGUAACAGGAGAUUUACUUUACUCCUACAAACCAGAGAUUUGGGUACGGGGACUUGGUUACGCUAAAUUUCUCUAACACCCUUUCGAUACAAAUUCUUUUUAUUUUGACAAAAAGGUUUUGCAGGCAGCUUGAAUUGAUUUUAAACUAUUUCCCUAACAUGUAAGGUGAUCAUACGGGUGCGCAAACCACCAAUUUAACACCCAGAUAAACAAUAAAUAAAUUGCAAAAACUUACCUCCAAGCAACGAAAGCAUCUGCAAUGUUAAAUUAAAAUCCACAUCAACAACCCUAGAUAUGGUUUCUAAUUAACACGCAAUUUUUUAUUUUCACUUAAUUAAUGAAAAUCAUGCAAUAUGCAAUGCAAUAUUAACUAAAUGACCUAAUUCUAAUGACAUGUAAUUUCUAAUUAAAUGGGCCUAGCAAAAAUACUAAAUGAUAUACAUCUCAAUGAAUCUAACCCUAAUGACAUGCAUAUGGCAUUUUUUCUUUUUCCUAAAAUAAUGCAUUUUAUCCUAAACAAUAAAACUAAUUUAACCUAUGACUUUUUUUGUAUUUUUCAUGAAAUUUGAAAUUAGGUGAAAUGUGAAAAUUACCUAAUUAGAUUAAGAUCCUAAUUAAUUUAUAUUAGGAAUUAGGUUGAGCCAAAUCCUAAUUUAAACUAAAAUAUUUUCUUAACCUAAAUAAUCCUAAAAUGCAAUCUAUUUGAUAAAUACAUAAACCUAUAAUAAAUUAAGAAAAACAUCAUCUAAAAUUAAAAUAAAUGCAAUUUCACCCUAAUAUGCAAUGACGUGCAAAAAAUGCCCUAAUUUUACAUGACAUAUGCAUAAUGACUUUUUUUUUGUGUUUUUCCUUUUUUUCCUUUUUUUUUUUGAAAUUUCGAAAUUAAUAAUUGCCAAAUAAUUAAAUAUGCAAUUUAGACUAGUGAAGCACAAAUCUAACACCCUAAUUUUUUUUUUGUAUUUUUCAUUUUUUCAAAAAUUCGAAAUAAAUAAAUUUCCUAUUCUAGACAUGCAAAAUAAUCUAAAACAAGUAACGUCCUAACAUGCAUCUAAUCUAACUCAAAUAUUUUUUCUUUUACGGGAGCAAACAAAUAAAGCAUCAAGAAUAACACGGCACCAAAUCAAGCAAGACAUCAUCCACGUCCAUUUAAUUUUGGGAACUAAAUUGACGAAUCAUAUCUCGCGCAUGAGAUCGGAUUGGCCAAUUUUUAAAUAAAAUCACGAAUCAUAUCUCGAGCGUGAGAUCGGAUUGGUGAUUUUUCCGUACAAUUGCGGGUCGUAUUUCGAGUGUGAAAUCGGACCGUCAAUCAUAUGUACGUUGCGAAAUUAGGAAGAUUUCCCAAUUUAAAAGGCUAAUCGUGUUGCGAAUAUCAUGGCAUAUUGGGAAUUUCCAUCACGUGCACCGAUGAGUAUAUCAAAUAAGGAAACGAAAUUUUCGGAAAUUAACAUAGACAAAAUUCUUACCUAUCCCAAAUAUUUGCUUCCAAAUUUGGCCUUCGAACAGCGGCUCGUGAAUCACGGUAGAGGUUCAACGUGAUAGCACAAGGACGACGGGAUGACUCACGAGCGGCAGCUCAAGAUGACGUGCUGCUCAAAGAUGGUGUCUCGCUCAGUAAGUGGUGGCUGAUGCUUCGCUGAUUCGGCUUGGCAAAGUCAACGAGGAUGACUAGCACAGCAGGGGGUGCAGCCACAAGAAGACUAGAACAGCAAUGGGGAGAGUUGUUGCAAAAUAGAAACCCAAUAAGAUUGUCGACUAGAUGAGGCAGCGAUCCCUUCGCAGAGGGGUAGCAUCAGUUAGCGUUCAUCAGUGGAGGAUCAGCGCCAGCGGGCCAGGGAGUAAUGGUGCCAGUGCGUAGCAACAAUGAAACCAAAGCAGCAACGCGGUUGGGUGCAACAACUCGGACUCGGUUGACUUCUCAGGUGGCACGUAUGCAGGGAGCAGCUUGGCCGUCGUCGACACCUCACCAGGGCAACAGCACGAUGUGGCGGUGAUGGAGACAAAAGCACGACCCCAAGUCUGGCCGUGGAAGGGGCGGAUGCGUGGAAGGAGCAUCUCAGCCAAGAGCUGGUCGAGAUUCCUCGCGUAUGCUCUACUCUCUCUCUCGUGUGUCUCUCUGAAAUUCGAAAAUCCCCCCUCCUCUCUCAGUUUACUGCUCUAUUUAUAAUAUGGCAGCUCCAAGUUGAUUGAAUACGUGCUGAAUAUUCCCUUUUUGAUUUUAUUUCUUCAAAUUGAAUAUCAGCUUGCAAGUUUUGUCGAUUUCUCCCCUUUCUUGCCGUGAAUAGAUCCAUGGGCAUAUCCAACAAUAUUUCUUUCUCUGUCCUUGAGUUGAUGCAGAGAAUUCGUUUCCCUUUUGCUCAAGCUCAUGGAUGCGUGCGAUUUCUUUGAUGGUGCACUCUUUCUUGUUUUAAAACAAGAAGUAAUGUAGCAUAAAUACCAAUAUAUUGAUUCUUUCAACUUUCUCGCUCGUAUCCCUUUUCUUUCCUACUCUCUACCAGCUGUCAUUUCCACCGCAUCCUUCCUUUCCUUAAUUAUUGAAAGUAGCGUGCCCACACAAAAUUGAAAGAAUUUUUGCAUGGGUCAAUGGGUCAAAACUUUCGCUUAACAGAAUUAAAAUUCUGGCAUUAAGAGGGUGCGGUCAUCAUAACCUUUCAAUGAGCUUGACCUCGUUUUUCCGUCCAGUGGACUGGAGAUGUUUCGAAGCCGCAGCCAGCUGUGAGAUUGUGUUCCCAUCGUCAUCAUACAAGGUCAUCUGCAUCUCCAUCUUCAACAACUUCUUGGGCGCAUCGGACUUAUCGUUCUUCACUGCCAGGUGAAGUGCGGUCUCGUCGUGAAUGGUGCAAUGAGCUCUAAAGAACCGCUUCCCCCCCCCCCCCCCCAGUUCACUCUUCCAGGGUCUUUUAGGGGUCUUCUCCGAGCUUCUAACACGCCUUCUNNNNNNNNNNNNNNNNNNNNNNNNNNNNNNNNNNNNNNNNNNNNNNNNNNNNNNNNNNNNNNNNNNNNNNNNNNNNNNNNNNNNNNNNNNNNNNNNNNNNNNNNNNNNNNNNNNNNNNNNNNNNNNNNNNNNNNNNNNNNNNNNNNNNNNNNNNNNNNNNNNNNNNNNNNNNNNNNNNNNNNNNNNNNNNNNNNNNNNNNNNNNNNNNNNNNNNNNNNNNNNNNNNNNNNNNNNNNNNNNNNNNNNNNNNNNNNNNNNNNNNNNNNNNNNNNNNNNNNNNNNNNNNNNNNNNNNNNNNNNNNNNNNNNNNNNNNNNNNNNNNNNNNNNNNNNNNNNNNNNNNNNNNNNNNNNNNNNNNNNNNNNNNNNNNNNNNNNNNNNNNNNNNNNNNNNNNNNNNNNNNNNNNNNNNNNNNNNNAUAUGGCUGCACAAAUAUAAGAUUCAACACUCAUGUAUUGAGAAAAAAAAAUUGGCUUAAGGGCGCCACUAAAUUCCAAACCGAAAAGGGAUGAAAAGUCAGUGAUAAUAGUGAGCUGAUUGAUGAUAACACCAUGUGACAAUCAUCACAAGCUUUUAUACAUGUAUGCAAUUUGACACAUUGAACUAUGAAUUUCCUAAAUCAGCUUAGAACUAGUCAGUUUCGACCCUGUCCUGACGAUGCUUCCACAGUUUAGCAUGUGAGCUGUUUACGCUUCUAUCCAAACACAUCUACUUGUCUUGCAUCAAAUAGCACCAAAACACCACAUUGACAUGGCCCUUUCUUUUUCUUUUUUUUUCUUUUUUUUAGGGGUUAAAAAUUAAUCCCUAAUUUUUAUGUAAUAAGUAAAUGACUGGGUCGCCAAAAUUUAGGUGUCAACAAGGACUCACCACCACAGUACUUCAAGUAAGAAUCCCUAACAACGCCUCUGGAAUUCGAACUUCUCCCCUGCGUGAGGAGGAGAGAGCCCGAGCCAGCUGCGCCAUUGCUGGCGGUGGUAUGUUGACACCUAAUUUGUACUUUCAAGAAAUUAUAAAAAAUAUUUAUUAAAAAAAUCGUUUAAAAAGAAAAGAAAAGAAAAGAGCCGAGUGGUAGGGUCGAGCUGAAUCCAACCUUGGCCUGGCCCGCUCCCUCUUCCUUUUCUUCUUCCUCUUGUGUGGGCCUAGCCCUUUUCCUUUUCUUUUUUCCCACGCGCAGCCCAACCCUUUCUUCCCUUCGACCCGGCCCGUGCCCCUAUUUUCUCCUUCGGCCGCCUUCCGCACGAGGAACCUGCGAAAGCAAAAAGCAGGGCCGCCACAGCAGAAUCUCGGGCAAUUGCAGGGCAGAGCAGGAUCGCGUGGGGGGGGGGGGGGGCAAUGCAAUCCAAAGGUCAAAGUAGGCUAACAGAGAGCUGAUUGGUGAGAUGAGGCCACGUGCAGGAGCUGAGUAGAACAAAAGGGGAGAAGAGAGAGAACAUAGGAGGGGAGAGAACAGGGGAGAACCGAGGAGGAAGAGAGUAACAAUCAGUGGAGGUGAAGCCGAGGAAGAGGAAACCCUCCCCCUAAGUCGCAGAUCACUGUCGGAGCCGCAAACCACCUCCAACUCUGCUAGAAUCCAGGUAAACAUUUUGCCUAAUAUUUGGUGUGCAUAGCUUGAAGCUAAGCGGACCGAAGCUCGUUCUACCCGUUUCGGGCAAGCUCCGAUCUCCGUAAGUCCCUGUUUGAUUCAUCGUUGGUUGCUGGUUGUUUGCUGUGGAUCUCGGACCCACCUUGAGUCCCAGUUGCCUCUAGAUUCUUAUGAGUCCCAAGUGUCCCCCAUCUGUUUGUCCAAAUGCCUAGCUGAAUCCUGCUUUGAUGUCCCUAACUUCAGCUCUUUUUGGUCGUCGAAGCACCAUCAUGGUCUAGCCGAAGGCCGAGCCAUGUCCUUACCUGGUCGAAGCAGGAGUGUCACGAUUUGGUUAAACGUCGCUCGCGCCAGUCGCCGUCACCACUUCCCUUAUCGCAACUAGACAGUCGCAAGGCAGGGGUCGCAGGCCGGCAAAACACCGGCCUUGGUCAACGUGUUUGCCGCAACCGUCAUAAUCCCCUACUCUAAACGUCAAGGGUCGCUCCCAUUCACCUAGUUAAAGCGGUGCCGUCGCAACCCUAGCUGAAGGGGUCAUUUGUGUCGUGCGCCUCGCCAUCCCCUACUGCGGAGCAAGGUCGAGGGCCAAGCUAGGCCAGAUCACAGAUAUGGCCCGGCCAACCCUCUUUUGUUAGGGCUUGCAAAAAGGCCUUGUCCAUAAGAAAGAAAAAGAGAGUUUGGCCCAUCGGGUGGGCCCAACACUCUAUCAAACGCAGGCUCGACCAUGGCUGGUCGGGUUGGGCCUAGGCCUUACGAGUGGGCUGAUUGGCCCGCCCCAAUCUAGCUGAACCCGAGCGGGUUAAGUCAACCCGCCCAAACGGGUCAUAUUUGGGUCAAGUCAAACCAUACCUAACCUGACUCGGUUUGCCCAAAAAAAUAAAGCAUUUUUUUUCGAAAAAAAAAAUAUUUUUUAAAAAAUUCGAAAAUUAAAAAAAAAAUUGUAGGGUUUGGUUAGGAAUUGUCAUAUCUUGUCUUCUUAGUAUAAUUAGACAUUUAUUUGCUUGUAUAUUGAUUAUAUCGCAUGUUUAAUUUGCAUAUUUUAUUAUGUUUAAUUGCACGUACUGAAGUUUAAUGCAAUUAGGAUUUUGGUUGCAAAUUGUUACUUUAAUGAUUGCGCACCCGCAUGAUCACCUCACAUGUUAGUGGAUAGGUAUAAAAUCAAUCCAAACUGUUUGACAAAAAUAUUUUCUUUAAAAUGAACAAUAUUAGGUAUCGAAAGUGCACUAAUUUGUCAAUUAGUGUAAUCAAGUCUCCGACCCUAAAUUAUCUGGUUGCGUAGGAAGUGAGGUAAACUCUCAUGCCUCACUUGGUUUCUAGCUAACUCUAAUAGGCUAGUGGCGAGUUCUUUUUAUGAAUUCUUAAAAAUUCCCUAAUGUCAUGCGAGGUAUGAGUUUGGGAGAGCUCACACCUAAUCAUGGGCCUUAGGUCCGUCUUUUAGGUAAUACUUCUAAAUAUGUUCCCUCCCCUCGAGGAGUAAAUCGCGACACGUUUGGCCAGUCACCGGCUGUUGCAAAGGCCUAGCGACCAAUGGAAAAAAAAAUGAGAAAAGAAUGAUGAAAAAUGACAAUAAAAAUAUAAAAAUUCAAAAAAUAUUUAUAAAUUUAAAGAAUUUUUUUCGCAUCAACUCUAGACGUGUCAUGUAGGAAGUUUAGUAUCCAAGUUAGCGAUUUCCGAUCAAAAUUGGCAGGAUAUAGUACAUUAGCAAAAUGUAAAAAAGUUUAGAAUUUAAUUGUAAAAUUAUAAGUUUAUGACUAAAUUAGUAAAAAUAUAAUAAAUUUAGAAUUUUUUUAUAAAAGACUUAACAUAAAUAUUAGGGCUACUUUACCAGUGAAUUGUGACAAUGAUGUUGUUGUUAUAUUUUAAUGUAAUGUCUGUGCCCCUAUACACUUGAUAAGUACAUCUCAAUAAUCAUGGUAAAUACAGACAAAUAUAGGUAAAAAUUUUAAAUGGAAAAAUGUAUUUCAUGUUGGAAUGAUGCCAUUUUAUUAGGUGUGGUAAGGUAGAAGAAAAGAUGCCCAUUGUUUCACUCGGAUAUACCUGUAAUCAAAGGUUUUUAUUGAAUCGUGUUUAGUAACGAUUUGGACAAGAUGCAAAUUACGUAACAAGAAUUUCUAAAUCUAUAGAAAAAGUAAAUGCGAGUAUUGAAAACUGAUAAAUUGAAAGGGAGAAAAAUACUUAAGUGUUUGUAUUGAUGGUUGUGUUCUGAACAAUUCAACAUGGCUUUAUGUGCUCCAAAAUCUGAUAAAUCAACCCAGUGGGUAGUAUGACCAAGCGACGGUUACUAGUCUGAAAGAGAACAUACAUCAUUUAUGGCAACAAGAGGAACAGUACUAGGCGAUGCAAUCAAGGCUCAACUGGCUUAGAUGGGGGGACAAGAAUACCAAGUUUUUCCAUGCCACCACUAUCCAAAAGAGACAGCGCAAUCGAAUAAGCAUGUUGCAGGAUGAGCAUCAACAAUGGGUAUGCAAACCAAACUGUUUGAAGAAAAUGACAUUGGAAUUUUUUAAAANNNNNNNNNNNNNNNNNNNNNNNNNNNNNNNNNNNNNNNNNNNNNNNNNNNNNNNNNNNNNNNNNNNNNNNNNNNNNNNNNNNNNNNNNNNNNNNNNNNNNNNNNNNNNNNNNNNNNNNNNNNNNNNNNNNNNNNNNNNNNNNNNNNNNNNNNNNNNNNNNNNNNNNNNNNNNNNNNNNNNNNNNNNNNNNNNNNNNNNNNNNNNNNNNNNNNNNNNNNNNNNNNNNNNNNNNNNNNNNNNNNNNNNNNNNNNNNNNNNNNNNNNNNNNNNNNNNNNNNNNNNNNNNNNNNNNNNNNNNNNNNNNNNNNNNNNNNNNNNNNNNNNNNNNNNNNNNNNNNNNNNNNNNNNNNNNNNNNNNNNNNNNNNNNNNNNNNNNNNNNNNNNNNNNNNNNNNNNNNNNNNNNNNNNNNNNNNNNNNNNNNNNNNNNNNNNNNNNNNNNNNNNNNNNNNNNNNNNNNNNNNNNNNNNNNNNNNNNNNNNNNNNNNNNNNNNNNNNNNNNNNNNNNNNNNNNNNNNNNNNNNNNNNNNNNNNNNNNNNNNNNNNNNNNNNNNNNNNNNNNNNNNNNNNNNNNNNNNNNNNNNNNNNNNNNNNNNNNNNNNNNNNNNNNNNNNNNNNNNNNNNNNNNNNNNNNNNNNNNNNNNNNNNNNNNNNNNNNNNNNNNNNNNNNNNNNNNNNNNNNNNNNNNNNNNNNNNNNNNNNNNNNNNNNNNNNNNNNNNNACUAUGACAAGGAGAUGCUCUUUAUUCGUAUUUGUUCAUUUCUGGUAGUGAAUGUCCUAUAUAACUCAUUAGCCAAGUUGUGGACAUGGCCAACAUUAAGGUCAUUAAAUUAAUCAAGUGGUGUCCUUCCCUAUGUCAUCUUUUCUUUUUUGUAAAUGACGAUAUCUUUGUUUUAGACGAAAAACUCCUGGAAUGCCAUAACUUAGCCAAUACGUUAAAUCAAUAUUGCCUAGGUACAGGACAAGAGGUGUGCCGAAACAAAUUUGGAAUUUUCUUUAGUAACGUUUGUCCUAAUAGCCUUCAGGUGAAUUUGGCAAGAGAAUUCCGAGUCGCUAUGUUAGCAAAGACUGGCAAAUACCUCGGCACACCAUCAAAUUGGGGGAAAUAAAAAAAGAAAAAAAGAAGAAGAAGAGAUGUUUGCCUAGAUUCUGGGUCGAGUAAACUCCAAGUUGGAAGGGUGAAAAUAACGGCUAAUUUUUAAAGGCAGUAAGGAAAUUUUGAUUAAAACAGUAGUACAAGCACUCUCACAAUAUGCUAUGUCUAUAUUUAAAAUCCUUGUGUCUAUAUGCAAUUCUAUAGAACAGAAAAUUGCUAGAUUCUGGUGGCAACCUCAUUGCAGCAAAUUUGGCAUACACUGGAAGAAAUGGGACACCCUAAAGAAUCGAAAGGACAAUGGGGGAUUGGAUUUUCGAGAUCUCAUUGCAUUUAACAAGCUUGACUGGGCAAAUAGGCUUGUCGUCUAAUACAACAACCUUCUUCCCUAUGGAGCAGACUUUUCAAGGGCCUGUACUUCCAUUCUACAAAAUUCUGGCGUGUAGAGAAAGGGACAAGACCCUCUUGGGGAUGGUAGAGUUUACUGCUAGGCCGAGACUCAAUAUUACACAAUCUCCAGUGGUUAGUCGGUGAUGGACAACGGAUCAAAAUUAGAGAGGAUAAAUGGCUUUCUAACGGAAUCAUUGGCGGGCCUGCACCUAGAGGCAAACUAGAGAAGGUGGUGGAUUUUAUUAUCCCAGACCAACAUACAUGCAAUGAAUCUCUACUUCGACAUAGUUUCGAUGAUCAGACGGUCGACGAAAUUCUCUCAAUACAGAUUCGACCUAACUGCACUACUGACCGAAUCAUUUGGAAGGGGAAACUCAAUGGUAUGUAUGGCAGUAAAGAGCAGCUAUAACUCUAUCAGAUCACAAGGCAACAGAGACACACAUAGCCAUGCUUCUUCAUCAUACCAAACCCCUCGAAAAAUGUGGAAUAAAAUUUGGACCAUGUAGAGUGCCCCCAAACUAAGCAUAUUCAUGUGGUUUCUAUGCCACAAUGCCUUGUCUACAAAGGAGAAUCUAUACCACAGGCACAUCAUUCCAGACCCAAUUUGCCGACUAUGUAAAGAUUAGGUUCCGGAGUCUACAAAACAUAUAUUCCUCUCAUGUACUUGGAUGCAAGCCAUUUGGUCUCACUCACAGGUCCAACUUACGACCCAAUUUCAUGGAGUUCAAAGAAUCGACGCUUGGCUAGAAGAUCUACUCAAGAACAGUGAUGCCAUACCUGAUUUAGAGACUGUGGCUUCCAUUCUGUGGCAGAUCUGGAAGGCCUGCAACAACUUUGUCUUCCGCCAGUAGAGAUCGAAUACCUAACAAGUUGUACAGAUGGCUCUCGCAAAUGCCAGAUCCACUCGGUGCUGUAACAGGGUGUCGUUGAAACAAGGAUUGCAGCCACCAGAUCUAAAUCAGAUAUGGCGACCACCAGAGCCGGGAGUUAUCAAAAUCAAUAUUGACGGUGCUUAACCAACAUUCCACAAUGAAGGCACAAUGGCCUACUUGUGCCACGACUCUUUUGGCCAACUGAUCGACGGUUUUAUCAGUAGCAUCACCGUCUUCUCGGCACUGCAAAUAGAGAUGCGGGCCUUCAAUCUUACCCUUAAGUUUUUGCUGCAGAAAGGGAAAGCUCAGGAUCACAUCUUGCUGGAAUCGGACUGCUUGGUUCUUGUGGAAGCCGUGCGAAACCCUACCUCGACACCUUAAGAACACAGAGGUCUGUUUGUUGAAAGUAUGGCAUUUCUUCCCUGUUUCCCUAAUCUCCAGAUCCAACACUGUUGAAGAGAAGCAAAUUUCAUUGUCGACUGGGCUACCAAAGCCCAUGGGCGUUCUUUACUUCCUUCGAAUUGGGAUAACUCCUCUCUGUUAGAGGAAUUAAACAUAUAUUAAAAGAACAGUUGAACACAGAAGUCGGUGAUAGUAGAAAAGCCAAACUUAAUGAAGUGGCUGGAGCAGAGGAAGGUCGUGAGCUAGCGAUCCAGUUGAACUGAUGAGCUGGCGAUCCGUGACAUCGAAACCUGAAACACAGAAGUUGAUCAAGCAAAUUAAAGGAGCUGCACAGCCAGAAUAAAUGCACGUGUGUUUCCAUAUUGGUUAUUCUGUUGUAACAAUUCUGUAACAGAAACAGUUGAACUAGUGUUGAGUAUAAAAAGGAUAAGAGAAUGAGAGAAGAGUGUGCGAAGUUUAUUUCUUGUUUUUCAAUCUCUAGUUUUCCUUUAUUCAUCUUGAGCUUUCUCUCCUACUUUUGUAUUCUGGAAAUGGUGAAGUCUUGUAAAGGAUGAACUUGAAGUUCUGAAGAAGAAAUAUAUCAGAGCUGAGGUAUUUUCAUUGAUUGUUCAAAAUCUAAACCUCUUUCAUAUAUAGAUCUUGUUCUAUCUUCAAUUUCUUCUCACUCUCCCCAUCAUCUUUUGAAUCUCCUUUACUCUGAAGCUUUGUAUAAUGGCUGUUCCUUCGUGCAUUAAUAAAUAAUACUGCUGUUUUCGACCAAAAAAAAACCACUUACAAUUAGUUAAUAUCUUAAUUAAUGAUUAAAAACCGCAUCUCUAUAAUAUUAGACUCUAAAUGUCGACCUUAUCCACAAACAAUUACAAUUCUUUAAUCGUUACUAGUCUUAAUCGUCAAUGGUUCCUUCACCUUGGCAUCUUCACUUUGUCUUCAGUUUUUGUAUUUAAUAUUUAUUGAUAUUUAUGAAGUAAUAAUUGUCGAUCAAUAUCGUCUAUCAAUAACUGUAUCAUGGUCAUCAAUGAUCGUAGUCAUCGACAAACAUUUUCUAUUGGUAACCCAUUGACGGUAUAGAAAUACUUAACACCGAGCUCUAUAUCUAUUUAAGUUGGCACCAUGUUGCCUUAAUUCCUAAAACAUUCCAAAAUUUAGGUCUAUCCCUACCCAANNNNNNNNNNNNNNNNNNNNNNNNNNNNNNNNNNNNNNNNNNNNNNNNNNNNNNNNNNNNNNNNNNNNNNNNNNNNNNNNNNNNNNNNNNNNNNNNNNNNCCACUACUCGACUGCUUAAAACACAGCACGAGUCAGAGGACUUACCUUGGUAUCAGAUUCCAUCUGCAUAUUAAUACAGUUCAAUAGGUACGCAAAUAAUCACAUCACCGAUCGAAGCAUCGAUCAAAUCGACCUAGUCGAUUACAUUUCCACCGGACCAUUUCUAGGUCAUUCAUCCCACACCAAGCAACUUUCUUAAAUUUUAAUAGCUUUAUGGUCACACCCGACCCUUUCCAGUAGUGGCUUUAUGGUCUCACCCGACCCUUUCAAGAUCUAGUGACUUUGCGGUCCCACCCGACCUUUUUAAGAUCUAAUUUAUGAAUGAAUCUUAAGAUUACUCAUAAAUUACUUCAGCACUAAAUAAAGUUCAAAUAAAUAAACAGACUACACCACGACGAUCAGCACAAAAUUCCGGUCAUCGACCAUCUCGGUUGAAUUUCCGGAAAAAUAAAUAAUUAAAUAAUUAAUUUCGAAAAUUAAAUAAAUAAUUAUACAAAAAAUCGAAUUUAGGCCCGUAAUGCCGAAUUGGAUGCCGCGACGAGCCCUAAAAAUUACCGAGACUCGUUCCAUAAAUAACAUGGUAUGCUUACUUGUUAAUGUCUAUUUCUAACCACCUAAUAUGCAUCAUUAAAUCUCUAAUUUAAUUGAUUUAAACUAAUCUAACCACCUAAUUACAUUUAAUUAAAUCUAACCAACCCUAAAUAUAAUUAGCAAACUAAGAAAGUAUUAGUGAGUAAAACUCACUUGGUAAAAGCAAAGACCGAAUCACCGCAACAGCGUCGCGGGCUUUCGACAACACCGGCGGGCUUGGACCGGGCCUUAAGCUUAGGCCCAACAAAUCUCAGCCCAACUGAGAUUUGUUCUUACUUUUGGGCCAGACCCAAGUUGGAUUGGGCCUGCUGCGAAGAUGGGCUUCAAGUUAUGGGCUGGGCUGCAAUUGAUUUGCUGGAAUUGGGCUUGACCAAUUAAUUUACUUGGACUGGACUGGGCUGACUUGCGGCCCAAAUGGGCUGAACAAACUGCAACUGGAAGCGGGCUGUUCGGUGGGCUACAGCUUUGGACCGUUGGGCUCGUGAAUUUGCUGGCCCAACCGUGGGCUUCUGAACUGACGGCUUCAAUUAGGCCUGACUUGCACCGAAUUCCGCUGGGCUGAUGAUGCGUGUCGAUCCACGAGCAAAGAUGGGAGACAACGCGAACGCUGGUCAACGAAGGCUUCGUUCGGUGGGGAUUUGACCAAGAUGGGGGCGUGCUGGCGUGGACGAUGGAGGGAAAAGCAGCGUCGAAGAAGUUGUGCCGUUGAUCUUCAAGCGUUGCUGGUCUUCAAGCUUCGCUGGCGGACGUGUGGAGUGGAGCUGAGGGAAACGAUGGCAAGCUGGCAGCUGGGGUUUUGUUGGAUGCUGUUCGGUCAACAAAUCAAAGGGGCAAAUUGCUGAGUUGACCGGUGUGUUGGCAGCGUGAGGAAGCUCAGUGGACUCCGCGACGAAGACUGGUUUCUCUCGCUGAUCGGUGGCAGUGCACUGGCAGUCAACGAUCGAGAUUAAUCCUGCUGAAGAUUUCGCUAGAUUGAAAAUCCCGUAGACUGGUUUCUCGAUGGAUUUGCUGGCCGAAGAUGGGGAAGUGGAAACCGGCACAUGGACUGGAGGCUCGGUGGAUUGUGGCUUCGCAUGGGGCAGCUUCGGUAAGUCUUCAACGCUGCUGGACUAGACACGAAGCAGUGGAGCUGCACGCGGUCAACAAUCUUGCUGAGAUUGACCAAAAUCUCGGUGGAUUGGUCUUCAAUGCAGCUGGCGGACGAAGGAAAAUUUUCGAAGGAAGCAGCUUGGUCUUCUUCAGUUGCUGUUGGAGGUGUCGCACGAAGAAAAAAGAUGGGAAGGGAAGAGAAGCAGCUCACGGCAGCAAGAUGGAGAGGAUGAGGAAGAGGUGGGGGCCCUUUGACAUGAUAUUUUACAAAAUAUCUCCCAAAAACCAUUCUUAGCCAUGUAUAGUUUCCUUGGCUUACAAUAGACCACUCAUGCACUCUUCUAGAAGCCAAAAUGGUCCAAAUGUUGUGGCUAGGUGGGGGUACACGAAUUUGGGGGAGGAUUGGCUUAAAUGAACUCAAAUUCUCUCUUGAAUUAAUCUCGAAUGACCUCAACAAAAAUCACUUGACCUCUGAAUGCCUCAAUUGAUAAUUUUCCUCAUCCCAUAAUCCAUCAUACUUCUCAAUUUUGCAACCAAAGAUCAUCUUCAACAUUUUCUGUACAAAAAUGACUCGGCGAUGACUUUUUCUCAAAAAGUGUCCGUGGGUCCUAAAAUUUAUUGUGACAUGACAAAACCUUCAAUUUCUGAAAUCGAACUUGAAUCAGCGGUUAAUUUCCAUUUGGCGCGUUUUUAGCGUGACCUAAGCUAUUUGGUGGUUUUCAGAACUUUUUAAAGUAAAUGACCCGUGGUCGAUUUUCUUCGAACCACUAUGAACCCAUUCGAGUCAAUGGCGGCUCUUGAUUGUCGUGAAAAUCUCGAUGAUUCAAAUAUGAAUACAAGAUACCAAAACGAUAGUAAAAUCAGAUUAAUGUCGGUCAACGAGAAUUUUCCAAUUUAGUGGAGUCACCCACGAUCUGCUAUACAUCUCAGUUGACCAGACCUAUCUCUGGUCUUAAAUCGAUUUUUAACUAUACCGCAAUGACUUCUAAAGAUGAGCACGGUCGAGAAGCCGAUUCCUGAUCGAAUUCUCAAGUUUAUUGCCCUAAAAUUUCUUAAUUACUUACCCAGACAAUCUAGUUAUCUCAAGAGUGAUCGGCUCUGAAAAUAGCCCUAUAAACACGUCAACGAAAUGGCCAAUUAAUUCAGUAGAAAACAGGUUGAGAAUUUCAAGAUGUCAAAUCAGCUUUCAGUUACUAUGGGGUGACUGUAAGUGUGGGGAAAAGGAUUAGGAAAAAGGGAAGCAAACAAGCGUAGUUGUUUGUGUUGGAAGGGGAGAAAUAAUGGAUAGUGUGCAGUGAUUUCUUUCUAAUUAUAUCUCAAGAUAAACAUAUACUCUCAUCAUUUUUUUCAAUGACGACAUACGUGUAUUUGGUCAUACAAUUUGCACUUGUACCUAUUCUUUUCAAAUAGAUGUGUCCUACUAUGACUAUUAAUAAGAUUUGCAUGUUAAUGAGAAUUUCAAAGGCACUUGUUAACCAUGACUAAUUAAGGAAGUUUCAACAUUAAAAAUACCAAUAUAGUUCUUUUGAUAUCUAAAACCUUCCUUACUAAAACAUGGAUGUUCCCAAUAUAAUUGGACUGCUUCAUUAUUUUGGCUUCUUAUGUUGUAAUCAAUGUCAUAUAUCUAUGCAUUAAAAUGGGUAGGUUGACACUUUGUUGACCACACAUAAGGGAGAAUGGAUGCUACUCUCUCUUUCACCCACUUCUAGUUUCUAUUUCCGCUUUCAAGCCCUUUUUCUCUUUACAUUUAGGGAAAUUUUUUCUUAUACUUAUGCCGUUGCCUACAAAUAGAACUUUAUAUUUGCUUGUAAACAUGACCAAAGCUGCUUGCUGCUGAGGUUGCCCGGUCCAAGCAAAGUGUUGCCAUGUUCUUCCAACCCUGGAAAUUGAGUGGUGUCGCGUCUAAUUCCGGGUCACGCAACAAUACCAAGUAUUGGCAUGAGGCCAUGCAACCCUGGCGAGGUAACACAAGGGUCGCAUGACCCUUAGAAAGAUCGGUCUUGCCUAGGGUGGCCCGAGCAAGGCGCCGCCAAAGUAGUAUGUAACCUCCAACCGAGACUUGUCUUGCAUAGGUUGCUGCCAACAACCUCAGCGGGUAGCUAGCCUAUGGUCGCCCGACCCUGUCUUUGAGAGCCUAGGUGGCUAUACCGACAUGGCCACCUCUCUCUCUCUCUCUCUCUCUCUCUCUCUCUCUCUCUCUCUCUCUGUAAAGAGCGCGCGGGAAAGGGUCAGUGCAAACCUGCGAGGGCAGAUGAGAAAAUCUAUUUAGUUGAUAAGGUCUAAAUGGAAAAAUGAAUAUAUUCUCUAAAAUGCAGGCAUAGUGAUGAAAAGGUUAAGCGGUAACGGACUUGCAUUGGCCCUUAGGGCUCAAAGCUGCUUUGUACGGCAUUCCUAUGCGUACCCCGCGGUUAAUAGUAAAAGAAUAUAGUUGCUAUGGAUAUCUCACAUGGAGAAGGUACCGAUAAAAUAAAAUAAAAAAUUAUACAAAAUUUUUUUUUAUAAUUUUCCCAUAUAGUCAUUUUAGCCAAUUUUGAUUGAAAAUUACUAAUGUGUAUGCCAGCUAUCUUACAUGGCAUAAUUGGGACUGAGACAAUCAAUGUUGAUGUUGAUAACUUUUGCAAUUUUUCUAAAUUUUUUCAAUUGUUUUUUUUUUCACUAUUCAUCUUUCCGAAAUGGUAGAUGAGGGUUGCCAAGGCCUCGGUGAUGGCCAGUGAACCUCUCCAACCCAUCAUGAGGGAAAAACAAAAAGAAAGAACAGAUAAAUAAAUUAUAAAUAAAUUCAGAAUAUAAAAAAAAAAAUUGCAAAUAUUAUCUAUAUCCAUGCCACAUAGAACGGUUAGCAUCAAUGUCAACAAUUUCUUGCCAAAAUUAGCUGAAAUGGGUAAAUUGAAAAAUCAUCAAAAGUUUUAAAACUAAAUUUGCCAAAUUAAAAAAUUUAUGAUUGAAUUGGUCAUUGUACAAGAGUUUUAGGACAUUUUGGACAAUUUUCAGUGAAUUCCGAUCAUCAUAUCUGGAGAAGGUGUCCUGCACUUGAUUGAGUGAAAAACUAAGAGAAAGAGACAACAGCAGUUGAGCAUACGUUUCGAAGCUCAGAAUAUAACAGUAUGUCAUGGAUUCCUACGGCAAAAUCACUACGAAACCCGAAUAAGUGUGGCACAAUCCGUCAUAAAAAGCAUAGGUUGGCCUUAUACACGUGAUGGUUACGUGAUUAUAAUUUGCCCGUGAAAAUCAAAGGCUCUACUGGCAAUGGCAUCUGAAAUUCUCCACCGAGGAGCCUUCUUUUGCAUAAGAGUUUGGAACAUCAUAAUUGUCUUAGCAUCAUAAACUUUUCGAAUUCAGCUAUAUAGGUGUUUACCGGCCGGCACAAGUGUUAGGACAAUAUGGAUGCAUCUAUCAAUCGCUCAUAUUUAUGCUUCCAUCACCGGCUCAUUGCCAAUUUAAGGGCUUUCUUCAUGCUCGAAUGGGUAGUAAGAGACAUUUAGUUCUGGUCCCCCACCUUUUAGCAUUCUGGGACCCUAAAGAAAUAAGCCCGAAAUCAAAAAGAAAGCAUUGAAAUUGGGCCAUCUUUGCCAAGAGAGGCCGCCUUCUCUCAGGCCAGCAUUCUUCUAUUUCUAGAACACCACACCACAUGCUGGGACAAUACCAAGCACUUUGUUACUGGCUCAUGAAAGAAUAGAAGGGAGUCUUUUAUUAUAACUAGCGGGACAUAAGGAGAAAGACUGGGAGGUCAGUAGCGGAAUGCCAUUUGACCUUACCGAGAGGUUCAAUAGCGUGUUCAGGCUCUUGGGAGAGGAUGAAUUCUCGGUCUACAGCAUCGAUAAUUGCAGCUGCCUAACAAGCAAACACUACCUAUAUAUUAUGUUCUAGUUUUCUUCUUGACUAUUCAAAGCAUCGAGAAAGAAAUGGUUUCAUGAAAGUUAUCUCGACUGAAAGCAGCUCUUCCACUCAUCUCAUUCUUGUGACACUUGUGAUUAGUUUAUCUACCAUUGACCAGUGGGCUAAGGACGCUGUGUUUGCAUUUUUCAUUAUUAUAUUAAAAUGGGAUUCCCAACCCUUAUUAUGACUAAUUUCGUGCAAAUUGGAUCGUCCAUGGGCAUUUCAUUAGGCUACACCCAUAGAGUGGUAGAUGUGAAACCCUCAGGUUACUUUUAGGGGAGGAGCAGCUCAAAUGAAAAUCGAUUGUAUUCAAAACAUUUCAUAAAUCAAUAAAUCUCUUAAGGUUAAUGCCUAUUCUCUGCUUGAAGAAAAUUCUAUCGGAUUCUAUGAUUUUGCUCUUAUUUGUCCUAGUUUUUAUGAAGUGUAGAGGCAAUUUAGUCAAUUUGAGAUAACCGGACCAGGCCCAUUUACUCUUUAACAGUAAAGGUCCUUAUGCGGAUCAUUUCCUUUUGUCUUAUAAAGACACGCUUCCGUGGACAAACCUGAGGGAUAUAUUCGAUCAAAUCUAAUAUUGAUUAGUCACAAAAUGGUCUGCGGCAGGAAAUGGAUAUGAGACCUUUGACUCGUUGAGAUUUGGGAUGUGUAAUCGGUCUUAUUCAAUAGGCAAACCCCUCCUCAUAAUGGAAAAAAAAAAACAGUGAACAUGUUGCAUAUUGUGGAAUCACAUAUAAUACAGGACCUGGAAUUAGAAAAGAUGUUACGCAAACCCACGAGGAUAUUCAUGGAGGAUCUGGCGAACGAAUCCUUCAUCACGGUAGAGAGAUUUGGGUCAGUGGAAAGAGUUUUCAUGGUGUGUGAAGAUGACAAGGCCGUGGACGUUGACUUUCAGAGAAGGAUGAUCGAUCGGAGUCCUUCCACGGCGGUGAAGUUGAUUGAAGAAGCCGAUCACAUGGCCAUGCUCUCCAAGCCUCACUAGCUUCGUCAAUGCUUCGAGGACAUUGCUAUUGAGGCACGGAGUACGAACUGAGCUGGAUCAAUUCGCACAUCGCACCAUUAACAAUUUGCCACAUCACUCUUUACUGUGCUGAUCCUGUGAACUGAACACCCCCGAUUGUAUCUCCUAAUCUCUCAAAUGUGGUUAAUUUUGCCCUUCUUAGCUCAAUUUUUUAUCAGAAUCUUGUCAUUUUCUCAAGUUAAAGGACUCGCAAACCAUUAAGUAGAUUCGUAAACAUGCUAAUUUUUUCUGCCAAAAGUGAAUGGGACAAUUACACUGGGAAAAAUCUACAUGGCAUUUUUUUUAUUAAAGGUCACGUGGUUUUUAAAUAUAUAUAUAUAAGGUGACGGGACAUAUGUGUAAGAAUAUUUAUCAUCAUUAGUUAGUGAAAAUUCUUUAAAAUUAGCAUUGAUCUAGUCUAUGCUGAGCUUCCCUGUUGCAAUUCCUUUUAUGUUAUCCAUGAAAGUUUUCGGUGGGCUAACGUUUUUUCAUUCAAGUUGUGGAGAAUAAUGCUUUUAGAACCAUGAGAGUUUACAUGAGUUAAAAGAACUUAUGGGGAGCGAAUUCACAAGAAUGAUGAGUUAAAUCGAACAUGGCAUCUCACACAAGACUCUUCUGGCUGAUUCGGCAAUACCUCUUGAUGGCCUAUAAUUGGGUUUCAUGCAUCUAACGAAAAUUAAAAAACUUGCUGCACGACGAGUAGGUCUAUCAAAAUGAGUCUUAAAUCUAUUUCCAACCCACUAGGCUCACGCACACACUCUCUCUUCCUCUUUUGCCUUAUACAAAUAUUUAAAAAAUCGAAAUUAUAAUUAUUUUUCUAUUAUUGUUUUUCUUUUUUUUUUCUUUUUUUCUUUCCUAUUUUUUCCUUUCUUCUUCCUUCUUCUAUCUUCUUUGGCCAAGGGCAAGCUUGAUCUCACCAAAUCUAGUGAGGUGGAGCCUCACUUGAGGCUGGCGAGGUUUGGCCCAUUAGAAUCGGGCGAGAUUUAUGUGGCAGCAUACAUGCCUAGGCCAAAAACCCUGCCUAUGCUUCUCUUGCAAGAGGUGCAAUGGCCCUAAGAUGUCGAAUAUUUUUUGCGUUGUUCUAUAAGUGGCUUAAUUAAUUAGGAAAAAUUAAUUGCUUAACAUGGUAUCGUAAUGAAGUUAAUGACUUUAAUCUAUUUAUUCUUUACACAAGUUUAAAUUGAUUUAUAUGUGUGUUAAAUUAUGACUUGAGUUUGAGCAUUUACAAAAAUGCGAUUCGCUGAACUCUUGAAAAUUUAUAAAAGAGUAAAUAUAAAAUAAAUAGAAGCAAAGUUUCUUCUUUGCAGCGGAAUCCGAAACGUGAAAGUGAAGUCCUUCUGCACCUUUGGCGUGAAAGAUGAAAUCCACGCGUGGAGACAAAUUGUGUGUGGGCUGAGGUCAAACUUUGACUUGGGCACACACACGGAUAAAAACAGAAUUUCUUUUGCAGUCUUCUUUUCUCCUGUGAGAAGCCGCCGAAGUUCUCUGCACGUAAAAGCCAAGCGUAGGUGGGCCCAGGUCAAACUUUGACCUGGGCACACGUAUAAAACACAAAUAUUAUGUAGGGUUUCUUUCCUUCGGUGAGUUGCUGCUGAAGCCCCACGUAGGCAGAACAGAAAGGAGUCGCACGUCCACGCAAGCCACACGAAGCUUUCCAAAGGAAUGCGAAGAUUUACAUACGUAGAGCGUUUCGUUUGAGUUUGAAUGUACGGUAAUUUUGUGUCAUGAAUUUAUAUUAAAGUCAGUUGUUUAUUUAUAAACACUUUGAAUUUGAGGUUAAAUCUAGGUGUGGGAAACACUUGAGCGUUUUGACCGAUUGUAAACUCUGAUUCUCCGAUUAUAAUGGAUUAUUUAUUACUGGCUCUCUCCGUGGACGUAGGUACCGAUACUCGGACCGAAUCACGUAAAUUUCCAAUAUCCUUAUUAUUUUUCAUUUAUUUCUCUGGUGAUUUCGCGUUGACGUAAAUUAUAAGAUCACGUUGUUUCCGCAUAUUAUAUUCCAACAAUGUGAAGGAGCUUCAAAAGAUUUCAGGGUCACGUAUCCAAUUUGCACUUUAAUGCCAUCUCCUCAUGGCUUGAGUUUAUUUAUUAAAAAAAAAAAGAAAAAAAAAAGAUUGCAUACGAUUUGAAAAGUACCUAUUAUGAGGAGCUUUGUGAUUAGUUCUCUGACUUUGAGAUAAUAAUAUCUAUGACAAAAUCCAUGUUCAUCCGUCUUCUGCAGUCCCGGCGAUAGAAGUCCCUCAUACGCUUUUCUUUAAAUUAUUUCUUUAGAAAAAGCAAUCUGGAGCCGUCAUGUAGUAAAAAGUAUGACGGUGGGCAGAAGGACGAUUACAUGGCCGAGAAGCUGCACCAAAACUGUUUGGCAGAGGUGAGACUCGCACAUAACUACUCUUCUCAUAAUAAUAGGCAACAAGGAAGCACAGACGACGUAUACUGAAGACCAGCGAGGUUGUUCAUGGAGGACUUAGCGAUGAGGAGAGAUAUGGGUCAGUGGAUCGAGUUUUGGUUCUGUGUGGAGAGGACAAAACCAUGCAAGUCGAGUUUCGGAGACGGAUGGUCGAUCAAAAUCCUCCCCAGGCGGUGAAGCUGAUUGGAGAAGCCGAUCACAUGGCCAUGCUCUCCAGGCCGCAUGAGCGUUGUCAAUGCUUUGACGACAUUGCUAAGAAUUACUGUUGAGAAACAAAGUAUGAAGUACGUUGGUUCAAUUCGCAUUUCAAACCAUUAAAAUCUGCCACAUUACUGCUACUAUGGUAAUUCUAUGCAGUAAGUAAGACCAUCGUACAUUAAUUAACUAUUAAAUAAAAAUAUUCACAUCAAUGCCAAUCGUGCCACGUAAAAUGACUAGUAUCCAUGUCAAUAAUUGUUGGCAUAAAUUGAUCGGAUGGAUUCAAUUAAUACCAAUGUGAAAAGAUUUAUGAUUAAAUUGGCCCAAUUAAAAAAAUUAUAAUUGAAUUAGUAUCAAUAUAAUAGGUUUAGAAAUUUUUGAGAUUUUUCCCUAGGAAUUGCAAAUGGGGAUAUAAGGACCGAUUUCGGCAACAAUUAUAAAACAUUAUAAAAUUAACAAUUGCAUUUAAAAAUAGUAUUCGUAGUACUCAACAAAUCCUAUGAAUUCAAACUAUUUGACUUUGACUUUCAUCUUCCUCAACUGCCGCCACUUGAAUUCCUUUGUCCGAGUAAUUAUCCCUUUUGAAACGGUUCAACCUUUUCUUUCUCCACGGCGGCUGUUUUUCGUUUUCGAUAAUUUCAAAGGCAGGAAAAUCGCAGUAAGGACAAGGACAGUUGAAAAAAGUAGCGCGCAUGUUCUCUCCACGAUACAUUGCAUGAUGGCUUGGGCCAAAAUGGGACGGUUCGAUGCAAUGUAUAUGAGUAGGCGAAGAUGUAACUUGGCCAAGAAGACAUGGAGUAGAUAUUGGGGCUAUCCUCUUUUGUUUUUCUUUUUCUUUUCCAAAGAAUCGUGAAAAAGGUUGCUUCGUUAUAUCCUAUGAAGCUUGUCCAUGCUUCCUUGUCGUGUCCGACACGUGUCCAAGCGUGUCGACGUCCGACACGCUCCGACACGUGUCGGACACGCGGUCAACGCGUGGUUAACUUUUAUUGACACGCGUGUCGACGCAUGUCUGGAAGGAGGGUGAAGGCGAGGGAGGGCGAGGGAGCAGAGGCCGCGAGCGCCGGCGAGACCAAGCCACGAAUGGAUCACCAUGACGGCGAGAGACACUAGAGAAAGAGCCAAACAGAGAGAAAGAAGAGAGAAGGCAAACUCCUGCCGGCGAGACGAAGCCACGAACGGACCACCGCGACGGCGAGAGAUGACCAGAGAGAGGUGAGGGCCGUCACUGUUGCAAUGGAUCGGCGACGAGAGGAAGAGGAGAGGAGGGAAGGGGGUCGUGCGGCGCGGCAAGGAGGAUAGGAAAAGGGUCGCGGCUCGCUAGAGUUCUGAUGGCGUGAGAGAGAGGAUGGGGGGGGAGGGGAGUGACAACUCACCUGUCACUGUCAGGAUGGGGGAAGUGACAGCUCACAUGUCACUGUCAAGUGGGGGAGGGAAAAAAAGUAAAAUCAACGUGGGGAUGAAGGGAAAAGGACCAACGAAAGAAUGGGUUGAUUUUGGAGAUUUUUUUCAAUCGGAAAAUUAAAUAAAUAAUUAAAAAAUGAUUUCGAAAAAUAAAAAUAUUAAAUUUUGAGUAAUGAUAAAUUUUGGUUGUUGUAGAAAAUCAUAGAUUUAUUUAAAUAAAUUGAUUCUAAUUUCUUAUUAAUUUUUAGUUUCAUCGAUAACUUUUGUUAAAAUUAAAAAAAUGUUUCGCAUUAAUUAUGAAUAUAUCUUUCGAAUUUCAAAUAAAUUGAUUUGUUAAUAUUAUUAGUAUAAAUUUAUUAUAGGCUCUUUUUUAAUUAAUUAUUUAUUUAGAAUUUGAAUCAAAUUAAUUAAAAAUAAAAAUAUGUAUUUAAUAUACAACGUAUCGCAACGUGACAACUCACCUGUCGCUGCUGUUAGGAUGGGGGAAGUGACAGCUCACAUGUCACUGUCAAGUGGGGGAGGGAAAAAAAGUGAAUUAAACGUGGGAGUGCAGGGAAAAGGACCAACGAAAGAAGGGGUUGAUUUUGGGGAUUUUUUUUAAUCGGAAAAUUAAAUAAAUAAUUAAAAAAUGAUUUCGAAAAAUAAAAAUAUUAAAUUUUGAGUAAUGAUAAAUUUUGGUUAUUGUAGAAAAUCAUAGAUUUAUUUAAAUAAAUUGAUUUUAAAUUCUUAUUAAUUUUUAGUUUCAUCGAUAACUUUUGUUAAAAUUAAAGAAAUGUUUCGCAUUAAUUAUGAAUAUAUCUUUCGAAUUUCAAAUGAAUUGAUUUGUUAAUAUUAUUAGUAUAAAUUUAUUAUAGGCUCUUUUUUAAUUAAUUAUUUAUUUAUGAAUUUGAAUCAAAUUAAUUAAAAAUAAAAAUAUGUAUUUAAUAUACAACGUGUCGCAACGUGUCGAAAUUUUCUAUUUUUUAGAAAUGACGUGUUGUGUCGUGUCGAACACUUGUGUCGUGUCGCGUGUCGGUGCUACAUAGGUUAUAUCUCAAUUUGUUUUUCUCCUGUUGCACUGAUGAAAUUUUAGAAGGUAGCGCAAAGAUAAGAGAAAAGAUGUCUAUUUUGUGAAGUACAUAUCUGGAUAAGUUGGCAUUUAUAUUUGUUUUCCAAGAGUACCCUUCUAUGUAGUUUUCUUUUGUUUCAUUUAAUAUGACCUAAUAUCAAAACUAUGGGGAUUAGCAACAAAAGUAUUAUAUCUUCAACUGAGAAAAUUAUCAAAAGUGAGCUUUAAGUUUAAGCCUAUCAAUAUAUUUAAUUAGAUAUAUCUUUACUAAAAAAUUUAUUAAAAAGUUUAAGUUAAUAAGUUAUGAGUAAAUUAGAAUAUAUAUUAACUGUUCUAUUUCAUAUCAAUUUUUCAAUAUUGGACUUUUAUAACACAAUUCACACAUGUAUUGCUAUCUCUCACAUGAGAGCUCAAUUUUACGUCUCCUUCCCAUUUGUUCAAGUAUCUUUGAUGUCUUGACCACAUCUGUAAAGAUCCAUAAUAAUUUAUUAGGAUGCACAAUAAAAGUCCGAUAUCUUUAGCCGGGAAACUUCAAAGAGAGAACUCAAGUCUUAAUCCGGCAACUUAUUUACUUUGACACAUUUACUCAAAAGUUUAUGUUAAUGAUUUAUAAGUUAUGAACCAAUUAUGAUACAUAUUAAUAGUUCUACACUCACGUACGUCUCAGCAGAAACUUUUCUUUUUGAUCUGACUAAUUCAUCUUCCUUGAAAAAUAUAAAUCUCUUUGUCUACACGCAGUGGCUAUGGCAAGCGUGACCUUUAAAAAUACGCUAGGUGAAAGAUACUGAAAUUUGAACAAUAAAUCUAUCACACUCCCAAAAUAAACGUUAGCGUGUUAAACUUCAGUUGCUGCUUUCACUUUUUAGAAUAAUACCUUUGUGAACUUUCAACGUUGAAAUGGAAGUUCGCGAGAACAGUCAAAACACGUCUCAAUGCCACCGGAGUCCAGCAAUAAAUUUUCAAGAGCGACAAAAGGAAAAGCAGGUAGGACAAUUUUCCACAGUAUGAUCGAUCAAGGAAGGUUCUGCAUUUAUAUUAAUUUUCAUCAGAAUUUUUGUUGGCAUCAAUGUCAAUUCAUCCUUCUCCUCCUAAGCACCAAUCAUCAUUUAAAUACAAUCACAGAAGACACUAACAAAGCAAACCCAGUGGUCUUGCUGUGGGGAGCCGAAAGCAUGAAAAACUACCAUUUCGUACUCGUACAUGGCGCCUGCCACGGCGCGUGGAGCUGGUACAAGCUCAAGCAUCGGCUCGAGUCAGCCGGCCACCGCGUCACAGCGCUCGACCUCGCUGCCUCUGGCACCAACACAAAGUCCAUACACGAUGUCCUCACGUUCCGCGAGUACACCGAGCCACUGCUGGAGCUCCUGGCCUCACUCGGGGCGCACGAGAGGGCAAUCCUCGUCGGCCACAGCUUGGGCGGCUUGAACUUGGCUCUCGCUGCCGACAGGUUCCCAGACAAGAUAUCGGUAGCUGUUUUCCUGGCGGCUUUCAUGCCAGACACCGCACAUAGGCCGUCAUACGUGCUGGAAGAGGUAAAUCUCUGCUGAACGCGCGUUAGAUUCUCAAAAUGAAGUCGUCUUUCUUGCUUUUGGUUAAAGUGGACCUUUGCCCUUUCGAUUUUGGAGAUUUUACUCUGUUUCAGUUGGAAUUCAUCUAAAUAAUCAACUCAUAUAUGUCUCUAACCCUACAUGCAUGAGCUCAUUUUUAAUGAAUUUUGUCCCUUGCGAUGGAAGUACUGCGCGAGGGCUCUGGAGGGAGCAUGGUUAGACACUUCUUUCACGCCCAUCGGAAAGCCUGACAAACCCUUGACGUCCAUGUUCUUCGGCCCCGACUUCUUGUCAUCCAAGCUCUACCAGUUGUCUCCUCUUGAGGUACGUUUUCACUUCCGUCCAUUGGCAUCAACGAAGCAAAUCUCCUCACGCUUUAAAUGGUUUGACUUCAACUCAAUUUACUCCAAAAGCUUGAGAUGACAUUACCUUGAAUAGCAAAUGACUACCGUAAAUACCACUUUUUCGUGUCCUUUUCUUGAGGGUAGCAAUGGAUGAACCUAGCCGGAUCAUUUCAUUACAGUCUAAUAUUCUUUUUGAUAUGAUCUCGUCAUUUUGUGAGUUUUAUCCAUUUGAGAUUAGAAAUUAGGUAUGAACUCGUCCUAUAGGACUUGAGAUUGGUUAAGAAUUUUGUGGUUGGGAAAUCCAAUGCCCAUACUUGAUACGUGUAACGAUUAAAAGGUCAUUUGUUUCCUUUAUAUAUCUUAGGUGAUUUAGUAAAUACACAUAAUUAUUAUCUUCGUUAGAAUUCAUAACGGUUUUCUUGCACUUUUUAAGUUGCCCUUACUCUGAUAAAACCCUCAAGCUCCCUCAUCCAUUUCCAGGCUAUAAAAGGGGGAUCGGGUUGCUUCACGAUAAAUUCGAGAAUACUAAGACUAUUAGAAUGAUAACCACCAUUUCACACAUAACUCUUUAGUAAUAUUAUAACCUUAGAUUUUUAUGAUUGUCAAUUCUACAUUCUUUCAAUUGUCCAUAUGGUCCUUAUAGAAUCCUAAUUGAAGAUUUACAAUUCAUAAGUUGUGAAGAUAUUUAACAAUAUGAUUUUUAUAAAGUGUUGUUGCGAGUUGCCAAUACCUUACAAGAACGUAACUACCUUAGUGAGGUGUGUUUAGGAUACUAUAUCAAAACCCUUAAUAAGCUUGGAACGGGUUUGAUAAAAAAAACGUUAAGUUAAUGAGACGGGUUCAAUAUUAACUAUUCCAUACCCAUCCUACUUCUGUCUCUAUUACAAACAUGACCACAGUAGAAGUGGAAAAAACCGAACACCCAAAAAGAAAGUGUUGGGAAUUACUGAUCCCCAAAAACCGGAUUCGACACCGAAUCGAACCCCUAAAUCAAUGUGGAAGACGAAGCCCGGGAAAAACACGCAUCACCGAUCGUAAAGCACACCACGGAUUCGAGCGUACCUUGUUAGCCACAGAUUAAACACCAAUGCCGAAGAAGAGGAAGAAAUUCUGGCCCCGUUCGAUCUGAUGAUGACUUGAAGGAGAGAAAACAGUGCCUUGAACUUACUGUUCCUUUUGGAGGAAGAGAGAACGCGCGGGAGAAGACGUACGUUGAAUUGUCAAACGUUGUCUUCUCUCUCUCUCUCUCCUCCCUUUUAUACCUCUCCCCCUCCACGGGCCCUAUUCCCGUGGGCCGGGCCCUUUGGGCCCAAUUUGAGCGGAUGGGCCAACUCAGGCCCAUCUCAUAAAUCUAUCAUCUCCCACUCGCACAUGGUGGUACAAAACCAACAUGGGCGGACAGGCCCUACUUAGCCUCAUUUGAGAAAAAUCCAUCAUAGACUUUCUCUUAACAUGGUGGGUCGAACAUAAUCCUCUUUACCUCUCUUCAACAUUCAUACCGGUGAAUAAUCCGUGCGACCAGCAUACUUUGAGAGCUCGACUACACCUACACCUANNNNNNNNNNNNNNNNNNNNNNNNNNNNNNNNNNNNNNNNNNNNNNNNNNNNNNNNNNNNNNNNNNNNNNNNNNNNNNNNNNNNNNNNNNNNNNNNNNNNNNNNNNNCUGGAGCUUGGUAAGAUCUUGGUGAGGCCGGGUUCGUUGUUCUUGGAAGACCUGACCACGUCAAGCAACUUCACCCGCGAAGGGUACGGGUCCACGACCCGGGUCUAUGUGGUGUGCAAACAAGAUCUGGGAAUACCCGCAGAGUUCCAAAGGUGGAUGAUCGCAAGCGGCGGGGCGCACCACGUCGUGGAGGUGGACGGGGCGGAUCACAUGGCCAUGCUCUCGAAGCCGCAGGAGAUCUGUGAUUGUCUGUUGGAGAUUGGGGCCAAAUACGAACGUGCCUAACAUUUGCCACGGCAUUAGGGGGCUUUGGUUCUUCUCGAUGGUUUGCAAUUUCAUUUGUCGGAUUCUUGAGUUUGGUUUGUAAUUCCUUUUCAGUUGUCGCGUCGGUGUAAUCCAAAUCCAGCAACAGUCCGACCCAACCAAUUCAAUGCCGACGAAUGAAUUGUCGUUUUUUUAGCCCCAGCGUCGCACUCAGCAGUCAAUUCGUCACGUGAACUGUCC